UCUGGCUUAGGCAAGCUCACAAUGUCGGGAAGAUGAGGCAAUUCAGGUUUGGGCAGUUCAGGCACUUCUGGUAAUUCUGGCUUCGGUAUUGUUGGUAAUUCAGGCUUUGGAAGUUCAGGAAUCGACGGCAAUUCAACUUUUGGCAAAGAUGGCAAUUCUGGCUUGGGUAGGCUCGGAAUGUUGGGAAGGUGAGGCAAUUCCGGCUUAGGUAAUUCAGGCACUUCAGGCAAUUCUGGCUUGGGCAGGCUCACAAUGUCGGGAAGAUGAGGCAAUUCGGGUUUGGGCAGUUCAGGCACUUCUGGUAAUUCUGGCUUUGGAAGUUCAGGAACCGACGGCAAUUCAACUUUUGGCAAAGAUGGCAAUUCUGGCUUGGGUAGGCUCGGAAUGUCGGGAAGGUGAGGCAAUUCAGGCUUAGGUAAUUCAGGCACUUCAGGCAAUGCUAACUCCAAAAGUUGGCGAGCUUUAACAGAAUUCUCGCCGAUCAUCAAGGACAGAGCAAGGACAAACAAUCCCAAAAUGUGCACAAACCUGUGAUAGUUUGCCAUGAUGGAAUUGACUAGCGAAAUGAAGAACUUCGAUGGUGAGGAGCUAUGAAUCUCAAGUGAAGAUGGUGGCGGUGUGUUUGAGGGAUGGCUUGGUUGGGGUUUUUAAAGAGGGGGACGUGGAGAUUAGGGAGAUUGCAAGUAUGUUUUGGUAGGAAAACUAGCAGAGUGUUAGCUCAACUUCGAAACCAAUUUCAUUUCCAUAUGUUCAACACGAUUUGAGCAAAUCAAACAAUCCCAGAAUGAUCUUGCCAACUCUAGGCUUCAAAAGCAUGUAAUGUAACCAUCAGCUGUAUUAUUUUGGUUAGAAAAAAGCCAAAAAGAAUCUUACUCUGCACAAGUAUGUUUUCUUUUCAAUUUUUUCUCACUAACUUAAUUUUUGACUUACAUUCAGUGGACCAAGUUGAAAAGGGUCACUUAAACUUAUAUAAAAUAGAUUUAAAAUGGUUAAGAAAAACAAACCCAACUAGAUGUGGAUUUUAUUGGUUCGGACCAAAUUCAUUUUAAUCAAACGAAAUAAAGAAUCGGCAAUAAAAAAUACAAGACAGGUCAUCUUGGGUUUCAAUGGAUUGGGAUUGAACUCAGUUGAUUAGAAUAAUGGAUUUCGAUUGAACUCAUUUGAUUCAAACUAAGAAAAUUUUGCGGAUAAAAAAGAGGAGUGGGAUAUCAUGGUUACUUUCCUCCUUCUAUUUGCAUGUGGGAAAACACCAAAAAAUGUUAUAAAUAUAUUGCAUUUGUGUCAAUUCAGUCUUAGGCCGUUUAAUUAGAUUAAUUUAGUCCAAAAAAUUUAAUUGAUGCCAACUAAUUCACGUGGAUGCCAGUUAUCUUAUGUGAUAUAAUCGACAUUAACAUUAACAUUUUUUUUAAUAAUUUUUAUUUUUAUUUUUAUUUUUUCUUUCUUUUUCUUCCUUUCAUUUGGCCAGCCGAAGGAGAGGGCAUUCGUGCCCUUGCUCACAGCCAGCCACAAGUAAGAGUGUGAGAAGUCCCUCGCCCAGGCCCAACCAAAUUGACCCUCAAGAACGGUUAGGCCCUAACCGGUCAAAAUGAAAGAAAGAAAAAUAUAAACAAUAAUUCAAAAAAAUUAAAUUGAAAAAAUUGUCCAUGUAAGCACCAAGCACCAAUCAUACUACAUAGGAUGGCUAGUUAGCAAUUUUCAACCAAAUUUGAUCAGAUAAACUGAAUUGACACAAAUGUAAAUAGUUUAAUAUAAAAUUGGUUCAAUAGAGAGAUUUAGGAUUGAAUUAGUCAUAAUACAAUAAGUAAAAAAAAAAUUAUUUAAAUUCUCCUUGCCAGAACAUCAAUGACAAUGUUGCUACUGCCGCUAGGCAAUAACCACCGGAUAAUUGAAGACCCAACAACGUUGUCAUAGUUGGCAUUAUCAACAUUCUCGUUGGUGUUAGCCUCAACAAAAGAACAAAGCACCAUGAUCGUGAUGCCCAUCAUGAGCUUCACUAUCGUCGGGUGUUUGGGAAAAUCCCUUAGGAUGUUUUAAAGAUAACAAAAUAAAUCAAAUGUUACUAACGUGUUUAAUAGGAAAUUAUUUUUUUGUAAAAUAGGGAGGGGGGAAAUGAAAGGAAAUGCUUGCAAGUCCCCUCUUGUUUCCUAUUGCUCUUAUUUAUUUAUUUUUUUGUAGAAUAGGGAAUUAUUUUCGACAAAAGUUAUUUUAGUCUAUUAAUUUCUUUUAUAUCCCUCAUAGCCUUUUAUUUUGACAUAUAUACAUGUCACUUAGUCUUUGUCUAGUCAUUUUGUCCGAGACGAUAAAUGUUUUGGAAUGAAGUUAUAAAAUCAUAAGUUGGGUUGGGGUGACGUGAAAAUUAGUUCAAUGAGUUUCUCACCGUGCUUUGGAAACCGAAAUGAGAGAAAUCCUAUAAUCAUAUAUUGAUUAGUAGCUUCGUGGCAAUGAACAUAGUAAGCAUUAAAUUCUCAUUUGCCAAUUCACAUGGACAACCAACUUAAUCCAUCAAUAAGGUCGCAUUUGGCAUUUGAUGGAUAUAUAUAUAUAUAUAUAUAUAUAUAUAUAUAUAUAUAUUAACAUAAACCCAUAUUGUAUUAAUACGAGUGUCCCAUACAACCAGCAGCUAUAGCAUCCGCGCUUAACAGGUUCAAGAGAGGAGGGGGCGAAAGAAGGGCCCGAUUACAAGUCAAACUAUUGCUAUUAUGGGCCUUACAGGCCUAGUCGGCUACCACGUUUGCUUCCCUUCGACAGAACCCUAGCGUUAGAUUGGGAAAUAGGGUUAACAGGAAUGCUGCCUAUGAGAAGAGAGAGCGAUCCGUCCAUGGUGGCAGUGUCCGGCUAUUCAACGUUUCCACCAGAGUGAUAUUGUCUGAUUCGAUGAUUAUCGAUGUGUUUUGGAGCCCCCGUUGCAGAAGAUGGCGGAGUGAGAAGGAUAAGGCUUGGAUCUCAACCUGCAUAGCCGAGGACGCAACAACCCCUAUGGAGAAACCAUCUGUAAGUCGGCCUUGAUGAUCCCUGCAAAUACAAGCUAUAUUGCCAUGAUUACUUCCCUGAUGAUAUGAUCCGUCUAUAUUAACCUUCAGAACCCUGGGAUUUGGGGGAUGCCAGAGAUGAGUUUUAUUUUUGACCGAGAACUCUUGUUGCGUGCAGGAAGCCGAGGACAACCGAUCUACCUGAGCGUGAUUUAGUGCCGCUUCUACCACCUGGGUCGGAUUAGGAGAAGUUCCUAUGAAAAUGAAGCCAUUCCGACCUCGUCAGAUUUGCCACAAAACAUGAGAAAUAAACGCCAGACGAGGUAAUCGGUUUCCUUCCCCGACCGUGGACACGAUCCACGAGUCUAGACGCUGAAUAUUGUUGGGAAUGAUUGAGAUCCCGAUCUGGGAAUGAUUCCACACCUGAUGAGUCCACAAACAGAGUAAGAACAUAUGUUCUAAGGUUUCUGGAACCUGAUUUUUACAUAGUUAGCAGCAGGGAUUUUCUAAUAUAUGUCUACGAUGCAGGUUGUCUCUCGUCGCCAAGGAAUUGCUACAGAUGGACCAGAGGAAAACACAGAGUUUGGGUGCAGCAGGCAUUUUCCAGAUAUUGCGCCAUAACUAGGUAGGGAUUUGGUAUGAUGUUGAAGCACCAGAAUUUGGGAUACCUGAUUUUGUCUGAAUAAUUGCAUGAUAUGCUGAUUUGACUGUAAAUGUUCCUUGCUUAGUAGCUGUCCAUAUAAGUGCAUCUGAAGUGAAGUUAGGCCUGAGUUGGAUGUCUGUUAUAUGUUGAAUGAUUGACAAGUCGAAAAAUCUGUACAAUAAACUGGUAGCCUGAUCAAUAAGAUCAGCUACUAGUAGAGGUUCUUCUGGGGCUUUUGGUCCACCUAGAAUGCCCAUUGGGAGCCAUCUGUCUUCUCUAAUGUUGAUGCAUUUGCCAUCUCCCACUGACCAACUAACAUUUGGUAAAAUAGCAUCCCUCCCGCUCAAGAGGCUCUGCCAGCCCCAUGAUGGGCGAGAGCCCUUGUUAGCUUUUAAAAAGGUGGAUGAGUGAAAAUAUAAACCUCUAAAAAACUUGCCCCAUAAAGAUAAGGGUUGAUGAAUUAGACGCCAUGCUUGCUUACCGAGCAUGGCUUAAUUAAAACUCAUCAAAUCUCUGAAGCCCAAUCCCCCUAAUUCCUUUCGGUUCUGUAAAGUUUUCCAACUCUGCCAAUGAAUUCUAGAUCUGCUUGUAUCAUUACUCCACCAAAAUUUAGCCAUUCUCUAUUCAAUAACUUUACAUAAUGAGAUAGGAUUCUUAAAAAUAGACUUGGCGUAUUGUGGAAUAGAUUGAAUGACAGUCUUUAGCAGAACUUCUUUCCCUCCCUUAGAAAUUAGUUUCUCCUUCCACCCUUCUAAUUUCGAUUGAACUCUACUCAACAGCCAAGAAAACAUAUCCCUUUUAGAUCUUCCCCAAUCUGUAGGUAUCCCUAAAUACUUCCCACAUCGCUGUAAAACAGGUACCCUUAAUUCCCUAGCCAAAUUUUCCUGGAGUGAUAGUUUGUCCAGAAGCCAGGCAAUACUGGUUUAGAAUAUUAGAUAGGUUUUGACACUCCAGCAAGGUACCAUCAAGAAAGAACACAGCAUCAUCAGCAAAAAAGAGAUGUGAUAAAGUAGGACACCAUUGAUUCAACUUAAUGCCUUUGAGUAAGCCCAUAUCCAUAGCAUUUCUAAUUAGGAAGGAUAAGAGAUUGGCUAUAAGGAUAAACAAGUAAGGGGAUAAGGGAUCUCCUUGCCUCAUCCCUCGAGUUGGGUGAAAAAUCGGUAAAUACUCACCAUUCAUUUUGACAGAGAAAGAUGUAGUUGAAAUGCAGCAUAAUUAGGUGGACCCAAUGAGAAUGAAAGCCUAAUCGAAGUAAAUAAUCUUGAAGAAAGUCCCAUUCAACACGGUCAUAAGCUUUAUGCAUAUCUAACUUAAGAAUCGCUUUAAAAUGACGCCUCUGUUUCCUGGUCUUAAGCUGAUGAAUGACUUCCUGUACGAUGAGAACAUUGUCCUGAAUCUAUCUUCCAGCAACAAAAGCACUUUGUUCCUCAGUAAUCAGCGUAGGCAGCAUGGAUUUUAAUCUAUUAGCUAGUACUUUAGAGAAAAUCUUAUAGGCAUAGUUGCACAAGCUAAUAGGACGAUACUGAUCUAAGCUUUCUGGGUUUAGGGUUUUGGGGAUUAGGGUUAUAGCGGUUCUGUUUAAAGGUAAAGGUAAUGAUCCAGAAGUAAAGAAUUGCUGAACUGCUCUGUGAAUGUCCACCUUAAGAACUUCCCAAUGCGAUUGAUAAAAUAGUCCAUUUAAACCAUCUGGGCCUAGUGCCUUUGAAGCACCUAAUUGAAAUGUGGCCACUUUAACUUCUUCGAGAGUGGGUUGCACGAGAAGUGUUGCAUUCAUGUCUGCAUCAACCAUCUGUGGACACUGUUGUAAAAUCUGUGCAUAAUAGCGAGGGCCUGAAGUGGUAUAUAGCUGUGAAAAAUAAUCUGUAGUCAGUUCUUUGAUCUGUCCAGUAUCUCGAACCCAUUGCUGAUGUUCAUCCCUCAAUAUAGUAAUUUGAUUACAUUGUCUUCUUUGAAGUGUGGUAGCAUGAAAGAACUUAGUAUUGCGGUAUCCCCACUUUAACCAGUUUAUCCUAGAUCGCAUCGCCCAAAAUUGCUCUUCCCUCUGCCGUGCUUUCUGAAGUUCUAUUUUUAUCAUUUGUUGCCGAGAUUGAUUCAUUAAAGUAGGAUGCUGAUUUGUCAAAGUUUGUAACUGGUGCUCUAAUUCCAUUGCAUGUUGCCUGUUGUGGGAGAAAUUCUGGCGACUCCAAGUGGAUAAGACUGCAGCAACCGCGUGAAGCUUGACUAGGAGAGGAGAGUCCUGCCUCGAGACAAAGUGCUAAGAGGUUUCAAUGAAUGAAUGACAUCCCGAGUCCUGAUUCCAGAAAGCUUCAAAGGUAAAGUGUCUCUUUCGUCGACCCGAAUAAGGUUUUGUAUCUAAAAAAAUUGGGCUAUGAUUUGAUCCCACUGCAGGGAGAGCCAGCACUUGAGCAUUCGGGUACGUGACACGCCAUUCAGCAGUGCAUACAUCUCGAUCAAGACGCUCCUUCACCAAGGCUUCCCCAUCACAGUUAUUGGACCGAGUGAAAGCACAACCAUGAGAAGGUAGAUCCAACAAGCAGCAAUCAUUAAGGACAUCUCGAAAUGAAGAGAGGCGGUAAGAGUCCGCAGGCCGAGAUCCCAUUUUCUCCCAACGGUGAAGAAUUUCAUUAAAAUCGCCAAGGCACACCCAAGGUAAGACAUUAUAACUACCAAAUUGUCACAAGGUUUGCCAAAGAUGCUGACGGUCAUGAAAAACUGCAGGGGCAUGAAUGCAAGUAAUCCUCAUAGAUCUGGCCUCCGAAAUUUCCAGACAAAGAAAAUCCAAAAAAUGAGGAUUGGAGGAGAAGUCAGAUAGCGAGAUCCCAGCAUUCCAAAAAAGAGCUAAGCCACCUGCAGAGCCAACAGGGCUGAACAGCUUGUGGUGCAAAAAACGGAAGGAACGUUUAAGGCAAAGGAGUACUUCAUCACCAUUCUUCGUUUCCAUAAAAAAUAAUAGGUUAGGCUUUUCUUUAGCCAAAAGGGCUUUUAAGGAUAGGACUGUCAGGGGAUUGCCCAAACCCUGACAGUUCUAAUUGAUAAUUUUCAUUGUUGUUCUGGUGGCUGUUUAGGGCCAGCCACCGUCGCCCACGAACCAUCUUCAAACGCCUCUACAAUUGGCGUAUCCAACAAUAAGGAACCAUCAUAAACUCCUAGUGGCCCUUCAGGUAAGUCAUAUGGAGUAUAGUGUCUCGGUUUCUUAGUAGGACCUUUUUUGAUAUUCUGAUGCACACAUUUGCCUUUUUUGACUUGAGGAGCUGAUAUGGGCAAUUGUACUCCUUUAAGCUUCUCUGAUGCUAGAAUUAGAGCGGUCGUGAGAUUUUGUUGCACUGAAGGAGUGAAGCCCAAGGUAUCAGUACCAGCCUGUGGUGUGGUUGGAGUAGCCUUUUGUGGAGAGGAGGUUGUUUUAGGAAUAGGUGGUAGUAGAAGAGGGAGAGGGCGAAUAUCAGUGGGAGGUGUUUCAAGUAUGGUUUCCUCUCGCUCCUCCUCCAUAAUUGAUUCUCCAUAGUAACACUUCCAGUAAGGGCUGUACUGUUGAACUUCAACUUUUAACCAAGGACCGUAAGGAGUUGUUCCAGUAUUGGUGAUCAUAUUCUCCUCAAAAGGGAUGGUGGGGCAAGAGUCAGUAUAAUGGCCCAAUCGUCCACAAGAGUAACUGUAAUGAGGUAACCGUUCAUACCAAAAUUCCAACCACAGAGUUUGAUUUUUGAAUUUAAUUAGUCGACCUACCUUCAAAGGUUCAAAUAAAUUCAGCUGUACUCUAGCGCGGCCUACUUUCAGGGUGGAACCAGUAGCAAAGUCAGACUUAACUUGCAGAACAGGGCCUAUCAGACUAACAGCCUUACGGAUCAUAUCAUCGGUACAACAUUCUAAAGGCAGCCCAAUUACCUGAACCCAGAAUGCAAAGGUAGAGAAGUCAUAAUAGUGCAGAGGGGUAUUGGCUACCCAGGGUUUAAAAUUUAUAAGGUGUCCCGAGAAUUGUCAAGGGCCUGUGUCUAGAAUUCUCUGUUUUUCAGCUUGAGACCUAAAUUUGCUAAAUAAAUUCCCGCUUCUGUCUGUAGGAUUUCGCUUGGUCGGACCUCCAUGCCCUCUUCAAGACUGCCUGGGAAAUUGAAGGAAAGGGUUGGAUGGAACUUUACCAAUUAACAGUAGCUUACACUCCUCGACUGCGCCAGGUGCGGGUUCAACUUGCCAUUCUUCAAUUGCUUUUCUAUGCAUAAUCGGCCCAAUUUUUGACAAAGUGCAGCAACUCGAGAUGCAUCGGGAUCAUCUUCGCUAGCCAUUGAUGAAAUGACGGAUUGCCUUAAUAGAUGAAGGUCGUGAACAUAAAAAUAUCGACGUGCAAAAGGAGAAACGGAAGAACCCCAGAGGUGGAGAAAAGAAAACCAGCAAAACAAUCGCUGGCGAGAUGUGUAUGGGUUAACUAAUUAAACCUGUGAAGGAAAGGAGAGAGGAAGAUGAUGAAGAAUUGCCAUUCGCAUGGCGAUAGUAAGAUACUGGAGACUGAAGACAAAAGGGUUUAACAGAGAAGAAGAACUCUAACCAGUAGAUAGAGAGGAAACUCGACAAGACGAGAGGGUAAGUGCAUUUGAUGGAUAUUGGAUCUCAUUUGGUUGAGCUGUAUUGCCAAUUUCAAGUGAAUCUCUUCCUUGUAAUUUCCUUAAUGGUUUCUAUGUGUCUACUGUCAGGUGAAGCCACCAUCGAAGAAUCUCCCUCAAAUUAUUAAACAUACUCCCAGACCUCUUCGACCAUCUUCUUCACCACCUCCCUCUCAUCUCUCAAACCUCAAGCUGCCCUCUCUAUCUCCAUUACCAACCCUGACUCUCUCUAUAAUCAAUCAUGAUAAUCUGAUGAACUUUCUUAAGUCCAAACUCUCUUUCCCUCUCACACCCAGGAGUCUCCUCCACUUCCUCAAGUGCAAACUCCACCCCAACCCUCAUUUGACCCUCUAUGACUUUUAUAUAUUCAGUUGGGCCUCCAUGAUUGACUCCUAUCGCCAUGACCACUCAACAUUUGAGUGGAUGGCUCGCACUCUCACAAUGUCAAGCCGUUUCGAGCAACUCAAUUCGCUUCUCCAGUUCAUGGCCUCAAACCCUUGCCCUUGCUCUGAUGGAAUUUUCUCAUGCCCCAGGACAGAGCCAAUUUUUCAAUUCUCAAUAGAAGCUUAUUGUAGAGCUCGGAAACCAGAGGAAGCAGUGAUUGCUUUCGAGAAUAUGGAGAAGAUGAUCGAUGGCGAGCCGAGUGCGAUGAGUUAUAAUGCUUUGAUUCAUGGAUUUGUGAAAUGGGGUGACCAUGCCAGGGCUUUGGCCAUCUAUGAUCAAAUGAUAAGGAACAGAGUCAAGCGUAAUGUGAUAACCUUUAAUAUCUUGAUUAGUAGUUAUAGUAGAAAUUUACAGUUUGGAUUGGCUUUGGAGGUGUUUAAGGAGAUGAAGGAGAAGGGUUGCAGCCCAGAUGUGGUCAGUUUCAAUACUUUGAUUAAGGGGUUUUUUCGGGAGAGGAAGUUUGAGGAUGCGAUCGCAAUGGCUUAUGAGAUGAUCGAACUGGGUGUUAGCCGGGUUCACACCUAUGUGGAGGAGGCCUAAUGAGUUGGAAGCCUAAAAAGGGCUUGAACCCAUAUGAUAAGUUAUAUGAGGAAAUAGGGUUUCUCACUAUCUAUAUAAAGAGGUAGCCGCAAAAAAGGAAAAGAAAAAGAGAAAGCAGAAAAUUUGGGGUUUUAGGCAAUAUCUGAUUUACAUCAAGCUGGUGUCGGAGGUCGAUUCGUGGUCCAAUUGAGCUAAAAUGUUGUCAGCAUGUUCAUGGCGCAAUUUUAUUGAAUCUGAACGGUUUGAUUUUCGUUUGAAGUUCCCUACAUCAGGUUUUUUAUGGAUUGAUCAAAACUUGCGUUUUUUGUCAGAUUUAUCCUUGAUCUCUUGUGAAAUUCAUGUGUAUUGCAAGAAUUAUGUUCUUGAGAUCUUUGCUACUAUGUACCUCUAGUAUUUGCUAGAGAAGAACAAUUUUGUUGAUAGUGAAGAAUUUCGGGUGGACUUCGGUCUCGUGGUUUUUUAUCUCCUCACAUCGAGGAGGUUUUCCACGUAAAAAUCAUCUUGUGUUCACGUGUUUGGUAUUUAUUUUACUCUACUAUAUCGAUUUCUAUUAGGGUUACACAAGAUGGGAGAUUAUUUUAUUCCGCUGCAUUGAUUCGAUAUUGUUCGAAUUAUUACCGUUCUCCCAUCAGAGUGGUAUCAAAGCAUCUGGUUAUUGCUUGAUUUUUCUGCCUUGUGUUAAAUAAAGGAAACGAAUAUGAGUGGAAUGGUUACAUUGAAUGGUUCGAAUUAUCAUAUUUGGAAAUGGAAGAUGGAAGAUCUUUUAUAUGUUAAAGAUUUUUAUUUGCCUGUAUUUGCUGAGGAGAAACCAGAGAAUAAAACUGAUGCUGAAUUGUCUAUAUUUCAUUGUCAAGUGUGUGGUUAUAUUAGGCAGUGGGUAGAUGAUAAUGUUUUAAACCAUAUUAUUGAAGAAACACAUGCACACAGUUUAUGGGAUAAGCUCGAACAGUUAUAUGCUCGAUACACUGGGAAUAAUAAGUUAUUUUUGAUAAAACAUAUGAUGGCUUUGAGAUAUCAUGAUGGUACUCAUUUGAUUGAUCAUUUAAAUUAUUUUCAAGGAAUUAUAAAUCAGUUGGGUGCGAUGGGAAUCAAGUUUGAUGAUAAGAUACAAGCACUAUGAUUGCUUGGUACUUUGCCGGACUCCUAGGAGACGUUCCAAACAUCUUUGUCUAAUUUUGCCCUGAACGGUACGAUUACCAUGGAUUUGGCCAAGAGUAGUAUUUUGAAUGAAGAGAUGAGAAGGAAGAUACAAGGAUCGUCAUCUUCACAUUCUGAUGCCUUGGUUGUUGAGAAAAGGGAGAGAAGUGAAUCUCGAGGUUCGAGAAAUAGAGAUAAAAGUCGAGAUAAAAGCAGAGGUAAGUAUAAUAAAUUUGCUAAUGUUGAGUGUCAUUAUUGUCAUCAAAAGGGACAUAUUCAGAGGUUUUGUCGCCAGUUAAAAAGGGAGAAACAAAAGGAGAAAGGUAAAGAAAAGACAAGUGAUAAUGAUAGUGAUGACAAUUGUGUCGCUACACUUAACGAAGAUUUUCUCACUAUUUUUUAUGGUGAUGUGGUGAAUUUUGUAUCUCAUGAGACUAGUUGGGUAAUUGAUAGUGGUGCAUCCGUUCAUGCUACGUCUCGUAGGGAUUUCUUUACAUCAUACAGGUCAGGUGACUUCAGAUUUAUGAAGAUGGGAAACAAUGGACUAGCUCAAGCUGUAGGCAUCGCUAAUAUGUGCCUAGAAACUAGCAAUGACACAAGGUUAGUUUUGAGUAAUAUUAAGCAUAUACCUAAUAUCCGCUUGAAUUUGAUUUCUACAAGCAAGUUGGAUGAUGAGGGAUAUUGCAGCACCUUCAGUAAUGGUCAAUGAAAACUCACCAAAGGUUCUCUUGUUGUGGCUAGAGGUGAAAAAUAUUCUUCGUUGUACAUUAUGCAGGCAAAGUUAUCCACAGACAAAAUUAAUGCAGUAGACAGCGAAGAUGCAGCUGAAUUAUGGCAUAAGAGGCUCAGUCACAUCAGUGAGAAGGGUUUGUCAAUAUUGGCCAAGAAGAAGCUCCUUUUAGGAUUGAAAAGUUCAGCGCUAAAGAAGGGUGCUCACUGUUUAGCGGGAAAACAUAACAGAGUUGCAUUUAAAAGCUCCCCUCCUUUAAGAAAGUCAGGUAUACUAGAAUUAGUGUAUUAUGAUGUUUGCGGUCCUAUGAAAACAAAAUCACUUGGUGGCUCUCUUUAUUUUGUUACCUUCGUAGAUUUUUUUCAAGGAAAAUUUGGAUUUAUACCUUGAAAACUAAAGAUCAAGUGUUAGAUGCUUUUAAGCAAUUUUAGGUUUCAGUUGAGAGACAGACUGGAAAGAAAUUGAAAUGCAUCAGAACUAAUAACGGGAGAGUGUAUAUUGGACCUUUUAAUGAAUAUUGCAGACAACAAGGUAUUCGACAUCAAAAGACACCUCCCAAGACGCCUCAGUUAAAUGGCUUAGCUGAGAGAAUGAACAGAACACUGGUUGAAAGGAUAAGAUGCUUACUUUCACAGUCAAAGCUACCUGGAUCCUUUUGGAAUGAGGCUUUAAGUACAGUUGUGCAUGUAUUAAAUCUUACUCCAUGCGUUCCUUUAGAGUUUGAUAUUCAUAAUAGAGUUUGGACAGGCAAAGAUAUUUCUUAUGAUUAUUUGCGUGUCUUUGGGUGCAAAGCAUUUGUGCAUAUUCCCAAAGAUGAGAGGUCUAAACUUGAUGUGAAAACACGACAGUGCAUAUUUAUUGGUUAUGGACAGAAUAUGCUUGGCUCCAAAUUUUAUGAUCCGCUUGAAAAGAAAAUUGUAAGAAGCAGAGACAUUGUGUUUAUGGAAGAUCAAACAAUAGAGGAUAUUGAGAAAGCAGAGAUGAUUUCAGCACUACAAGUUAGUGAUAAUAUGGUUGAUUUAAAUCCAGUUCCUCUUACAAAUAUUCCUACACAGUUGAUGAAGAGCAGCAGGAAGUCAAUGUUCCAAAUAACGCACAUGUUCCUGAACAUGUUGAAAUAGAUAAUACUAUUCCUGAACCAGAGGCUCAAUUAGAUGUUCCACUGGAUGUUCCAGUCCAAAGAUCUGUUAGAGACCAACGACCUUUCACUAGGUAUUCUGAGGAUGAGUAUGUAUUAUUGACUGAUGUAGAUGAACUAGAGUGCUAUGCAAAAGCAAUAAAAGAUGAGUACAAAAACAAUUGGUUCGAUGCUAUGCGAGAUGAGAUGCGGUCACUUUAUGAUAAUCAAAAUUUUGAGUUAGUGAAGUUAUUUAAAGGUAAAAGAGCUUUGAAGAACAAGUGAGUAUAUAGGUUGAAGCAAGAUGAACAUACUUUACAACUACGGUACAAAGCUAGAUUGGUUGUUAAGGGAUUCGGUCAUAGAAAGGGUAUUGAUUUUGAUGAUAUAUUUUCUCCGGUAGUAAAAAUGUCUUCUAUCCGUGCGGUACUAGGCUUAGCAGCUAGCCUAGAUUUGGAAAUUGAACAAAUUGAUGUUAAAACAACCUUCCUACAUGGUGACUUGGAGGAAGAGAUAUACAUGGAACAACAUGAGGGUUUUAAAGUGAAAGGGAAAGAGGAUUAUGUGUGCAAAUUGAAUAAAAGUCUCUGUAGCCUAAAACAAGUACCAAGGCAGUGGUAUAAGAAAUUUGUGUCAGUUAUGACAAAACAGGGCUAUAAGAAGACUUCCUCGGAUAACUGUGUGUUUGUUGAAAAAUUUUCUGAUGAUGACUUUAUUAUUCUCUUGCUUUAUGUUGAUGAUAUACUAAUUGUUGGCAGGAAUGCUUCAAGAAUUGAGUUAUUGAAGAAACGGUUGAGCAAGUCUUUUGCCACGAAAGACUUGAGCUCGGCAAAGCAGAUUCUUGGCAUUAGAAUUACCCGAGAUAAAGAUGCUAAGAAGUUAUUUUUGUCGCAAGAGAAAUAUAUCGAGAAGAUCCUUCAGAAAUUUUACAUGGACAAGACUAAAGUGAUUAGUACUCCUCUUGCUACCCACUUUAAGUUAAAUAUGAAGCAAAGUCCUACGACUGAUAAAUAAAAGAAAGAUAUGGAAAGUGUUCCAUAUGCCUCAGCUGUAGGAAGCUUAAUGUAUGCGAUGGUAUGUACACGCCCAGACUUGGCGCACACAGUUGGCGUUGUUAGUCGCUAUUUGUCAAAUCCAGGCAAAGAACACUGGAAUGCAGUGAAGUGAAUUAUGAGGUAUCUUCGGGGAACUUCAAAUUUGAAACUCAGUUUCGGGACCGGGAAGCUUGAGUUAGUUGGAUACACAGAUUCUGACUUGGCAUGAGAUAUUGAUACUCGUAAAUCUACUUCUGGUUAUUUGAUUUCUUUUGUGAGUGGAGCUGUGUCAUGGAAGUCCAGAUUGCAGAAGUAUGUUGCACUUUCUACAAUCGAAGCUAAAUUUAUUGCAGCGACUGAAGCUAGUAAAGAGAUGCUAUGAAUGAAGAAGUUCUUAGAAGAACUUGGGUUCAAGCAAAAGAGGUAUGUGCUAUUUUGUGAUAAUCAAAGCGCAAUUCAUCUUGGUAAGAAUUCAUCUUUUCAUUCUAGAUCAAAACAUAUUGAUGUUAGAUAUCAUUGGAUAAGGGAUGUUCUAGAUGAAAAGUUAUUGGAACUUGAGAAAAUUCAUACGGAUCAUAAUGACUCUGAUAUGAUGACAAAGACUCUACCAAAAAAGAAACUUGAACAUUGCCAAUUAAUAGCAAGGAUGGUGAAUCCCUCCACAUAUGUCGUGAGAGGGAGAUUUGUUAGCUGGGUUCACUCCUAUGUGGAGGAGGCCCAAUGAGUUGCAAGUCCAAAAAGGGCUUGAGCCCAUAUGAUAAGUUAUACGAGAAAAUAGGAUUUCUCACUAUAUAUAUAAAGAGGUAGCCGCAAAAAUGGAAAAGAAAAAGAGAAAGCAGAAAAUCUGGGGUUUAGGGCAAUAUCUAAUUUACAUCAAGCUGGCGUCAGAGGUUGAUUCGUGGUCCGAUUGAGCUGAAAUUUUGUCAGCAUGUUCGUGGCGCAAGUUUAUCAAAUCUAAACCGUUUGAUUUUCGUUUGAAGCUCCCUAUAUAAGGUUUUUCAUGGAUUGAUCAAAACCUGCGUUUUUUGUCAGAUUUAUCCUUGAUCUCUUAUAAAGUUCAUGUGUAUUGCCAAGAAUUAUGUUCUUGAGAUAUUUGCUGCUAUAUACCUCUAGUAUUUGCUAGAGAAGAACAAUUUUGUUGAUAGUGAAGAAUUUCGGGUGAACUCCGGUCCCGUGGUUUUUUAUCUCCUCACAUUGAUGAGGUUUUCCACGUAAAAAUCAUCUUGUGUUUAUGUGUUUGGUAUUUAUUUUACUUUGCUAUAUCGAUUUCUAUUAGGUUUACACAAGAUGGGAGAUUAUUUUAUUCCGCUGUAUUGAUUCGGUAUUGUUCGAAUUAUCACCAUUCUCCCAUCACUGGGGUGCUAGUUGUCAAGUGCGACUUGUGAGAUUUUGGUGGAUGGCCUAUCUAGGGAAGGUAAAGUGGCUGAGGCAUGUGAAUUGUUGAUUGGUUUUUCAAGUAAAAGAGUGUUGCCCUGAGGAGUAUGAUUAUUUUGGCCUUGUGGAAGCUUUGUGCAGUUCAAGCAAUUCUCAUAGAGCAUUUGAUGUUAUUACUGAUCUGUGGAAGACGGGGAAUAUUCCAAGCUUGAUUGCUUGUACUGCUUUGGUGGAAGGAUUGAGGAAGCAGAAGACAAGGGAAGAAGCACUUGCUUUGAUGGAAAAUAUGCUUAAAGAAGGUAUUGUGCCAGACAUUGUGACGUUUAAUUGUUUGCUUGAGGAUCUUUCUGAUAUAGGGAAGACUGUGGAAGCAAACAAAUUAAGGUUGUUAGCGCAAAGCAAGGGUUUGGAACCAGAUGGCAUGACAUACAGGGUUCUGGUAUCUGGUUUUACGAGAGAAAGAAAGAGAAAGGAGGGCCAGAUUCUGGUAGAUGAAAUGUUAGACAAGGACUUUAUACCUGAUCAUGCAACGUACAAUAGAUUGAUUGAUGGACUUUCAAACUCAAAAAUUACUUCUAGGAAGAAAGGUUGAAGAUGGGUUAGGAUCUUAUUCAUUUCAACUUGGUUUCUGGAAUGCCGGCAUCUGUUUGCAAACCCCCUCAUGCUUUGUGCUUGGUUUGCCAAUCAGUUUUAUCACUUUGGGACAAAGUGGGUUUAUGGCUAUGUUUCAGAUGGUUGAGGACAAUGUACAGCCUGGGAGCGAGCAGAACAGAUACUGGUACGUGCACAAAACAACGAGUGGAAAGGAACGGAAACUUCGCAUUGAGUUGUAGGAAUCGUAAAGCCAGGAGAGCAGAUUGUGAUGCCAUGCGGAUGAGUAGUGCCCAGACGACAUCUAGGAGGUAUGAAUCAUGGUAACGGUGAUAAGCAUUAAUCCUAAGAUAUGAGAGAGUUGGAAAGUUUGAGUGACUGAGAAUAGUUUAUUGGGAUUGUAUUUGUAUAUAGACGUGAUUAAUAAUGAUACCGAUGAGCGUGUAUAUUAUAAAAGCUGCAGAAGAUGAACAUUGAAUUUUCUGGCAGAUCUCAAACUGAUAUCAAUUAAUCUAAUGAGGAAAAGCUUAGGGUAGAAAAUUCAUGCAAAUUCUGAAUUGGGCUUUGUUAUAUAUUAAGAAGCACCGACAUUCUCUGGAAGCCUCCGUGUCAUAUCGGACACUCCGACAUGUGAUCAACUCUUCCUAACACACGAGUUCGAAAUUCUGACACGCAACUCCAACACGCACGGGGUCAAUUUUAAAAAAUUUCAAUACUUGAGGAGUCAAAAUAUAAAUAUAUGAAAAAAUAAUGAAAAUAACAAAAAUAAAGAGGAAAGAAGAAAAUUUGCACUCUCAAGUUUCUCAUUUAUAAAUUUUGACAUUCUCGUGAGUGACGGUGAACGCUCCUCUUCUUGCCGGCAUCGCUCUGCUACCCCCGCAGAGUUAAAGUUGGAAUUUUUUUUUUCUUCUUUCCACCUUUGGUCACAUUUUCCAUAGGGAAUUUAGUUAUUUCCUUUUCUUUUGGUCGUACUCUGUUUUGUAGAGGAGCUCAAGCCAAUCUAUUUAAUGAACUCCAAACUUGGUCUGGGAUUAUAAGAAAUCUCAUUAAUUUCCAAAAAGUGUGAGCAAACAGGACAUGUUUCUUCAAAUUUACUCUUGUGUUUGCAAUUUUUGAAUUUCUCCUUGAAUCUCUCUCAAAUUAAAACAAUAAAUGACAUUAAUAAAUAUUGGAUUAAUAUUUUUAGUAUAAAUUUAGUAUAUGCUCUUUUUAUUUAUUUAUUUAUUUAUUUUUGUAUUUAUAUAUAAUUUGUCGGAAUGUGUCGGAAUUCUCUAUUUUUUUUUUUUUUUAUAAAUAACGUAUCGGCGUGUCAUAUCGUGUUGUGUUGUGUGUCGCGUAUCCAUGUCGGUGCUGCAUAUAUAACUUGUCUGAGAUGGACCCUAGCAAAGAGAUUUCUUAGGAUUGAAAGUAAUGCAGAAAAGAGAAGGCAAGAGCCAAAGCUGUUAAAACAAGGUAUAAAAUCAUGAACUAUCAGGUUGGCAAAGCUGUCAAGUACUCGAUAUUGAUAGAACAAAUUAGGCACUUUACAUUUGGUUUGGUGGUGACACUGUCCUAAUAAUGCCCUUUUUCUGUGCUGCUCAUCGAUGAAUCGGUUGAUGAGAAAAAUAAUCCCCUAACUUCACAAAGUCGGUAAGACAAAAACUCCACGAGUGGCUCAAAUAUAAGAUUGUUUGAACUUGAUGAUAUAAUCGGUAUGCCUUAUCCAUGUAUACAUAUCUUUCUUUGUUCAGUGGGUGCAAGUGCUGCCAUUAAACUUUAGUUUUACAUUUUAUUAAAUGUAACACCAUAAAAAAGUUUUAUCUCACUAAAAAGCUCUGGACCCUCUAGAUUACCAAAUUAAGACUACUCGUUUCAACUUUUUAACUGAGGAUAGAUUCAAAUCACGGCACUUGUUUAGGAUUUUUCUUUAUGAGACGAAAAUUAGUAUUUUGGAUUUUUGUUAGGCUAAAAUUUUGGAGUAAACGUCUCAUGAGAGCACAAAUUUUUUUUGGGGGGAGGGGGGGGGGGAAGUAAAUCUACAUAACAAACAUCACUUCAUAUCACAAACUGUCAUAAUCAAGUACAUGUAUAGGAUCUGAGGCAUGCUUAGAUCAUUACAAUAGACAGGGAUAACAUUAGUGAAUCACGUGAUAGUAUAGCCCAACGGCGAACUCGCUACAUAGCUUCAAGGUGUAGUAGUGAAAAAAGACAUGUCUUUCGGAAUUGUGGGAACAAAUGGUAGCGUUGGCUUAGGGAAAUCGGGGAAAUGAGGUAGUUCGGGCACUUUUGGUAAUUAUGGCUUCGGUAUUGUUGGUAAUUCAGGCUUUGGAAGUUCAGGAACCAACGGCAAUUCAACUUUUGGCAAAGAUGACAAUUCUGGCUUGGGUAGGCUCGGAAUGUCGGGAAGGUGAGGCAAUUCGGGCUUAGGUAAUUCAGGCACUUCAGGCACUUCAGGCAAUUCUGGCUUGGGCAAGCUCACAAUGUCGGGAAGAUGAGGCGAUUCGGGUUUGGGCAGUUCAGGCACUUCUGGUAAUUCUGGCUUUGGUAUUGUUGGUAAUUCAGGCUUUGGAAGUUCAGGAACUGACGGCAAUUCAACUUUUGGCAAAGAUGGCAAUUCUGGCUUGGGUAGGCUCGGAAUGUCGGGAAGGUGAGGCAAUUCAGGCUUAGGUAAUUCAGGCACUUCAGGCAAUGCUAACUCCAAAAGUUGGCGAGCUUCAACAGAAUUCUUGCCGAUCAUCAAGGACAGAGCAAGGACAAACAAUCCCAAAAUGUGCACAAACCUGUGAUAGUUUGCCAUGAUGGAAUUGACUAGCGAAAUGAAGAACUUCGAUGGUGAGGAGCUAUGAAUCUCAAGUGAAGGUGGUGGCGGUGUGUUUGAGGGAUGGCUUGGUUUGGGGUUUAAAGAGGGGACGUGGAGAUUAGGGAGAAUGCAAGUAUGUUUUGGUAGGAAAACUAGCAGAGUGUUAGCUCAACUUGGACACCAAUUUCAUUUCCAUAUGUUCAACACGAUUUGAGCAAAUUAAACAAUCCCAGAAUGAUCUUGCCAACUCUAGGCUUCAAAAGCAUGUAAUGUAACCAUCAGCUGUAUUAUUUUGGUUAGAAAAAAAGCCAAAAAGAUCUUCCUCUGCACAAGUAUGUUUUCUUUUCAAUUUUUUCUCACUAAAUUAAUUUUUGACUUACAUUCAGUGGACCAAGUUGAAAAGGGUCAUUUAAACUUAUAUAAAAUAGAUUUAAAAUGGUUAAGAAAAACAAACCCAACUAGAUGUGUUCAUUUUAAUCAAACGAAAUAAAGAAUCGGCAAUAAAAAAUACAAGACAGGUCAUCUUGGGUUUUAAUGGAUUGGGAUUGAACUCAUUUGAUUCAAAUAAUAGAUUUCGAUUGGACUCAUUUGAUUCAAACUAAAAAAAUUUUGGGGAUAAAAAAGAGGAGAGGAGAGGGAUAUCACGGUUACUUUCCUUCCUUCUAUUUGCAUGUGGGAAAACACCAAAAAGUUAUAAAUAUAUUGUAUUUGUGUCAAUUAUGUUAUAAAUAUAUUGCAUUGUGUCAAUUCAGUCUUAGGCCUUUUAAUUAGAUUAAUUUAGUCCUAAAUAUUUUGUUGGUGCCAACUAGUUCACGUGGACACCAGUCAUCUUAUGUAAUAUAGCUGACACUAACAUUAACAUUUUUAAUAAUUUUUAAUAAUUUUAAAUUUUUAAAUUUUUAAAUUUCUUUUUCUUCCUUUGAUUUGGCCAGCCGGAGGAGAAGGCAUUCGUGCCCUUGUUUGCAACCAGCUGCGAGUAAGGGUGUAAGAACUCCCUCGCCCAAGCCCCACCCAAAUUGACCCUCAAGAAUGGUUAGGCCCUAACCGGCCAAAAUGAAAGAAAGAAAAAUAUAAACAAUAAUUCAAAAAAAUUAAAUUGAAAAAAUUAUCCAUGUAAGCACCAAUCAUGCUACAUAGGAUGGCUAGUUAGCAAUUUUCAGCCAAAUUUGAUCAAAUAAACUGAAUUGACACAAACGUAAAUAAUUUAAAAUAAAAUUGGUUCAGUUGAAAGAUUUAUGAUUGAAUUAGUCAUAAAACAAUAAGUAUAGAUUUUUUUUUAAAAUUCUCCGCGCUAGAACAUAGAGGUGUCAAAAUGGGCAUUAACCCAUUUAUGGACCCAUUUAUGUUUAAAUAGGUCGUUAAUGGGUCAAGCCUAUUUCCUAAAGCACCUAUAAUGAGUUUUAAUGGGUUAAGACUGAGAUAUAUGAGUUAAGACCCAUUUAUCAACCCAUUAAAAAUGAAAUUAUUUAUUUUCACCCAAAAAAUCACAAUUUCUAUCUUCUCUCUUUAACUUUACAAAAAUAUUUUUUUAAAAGAAAGCAAAAUUAUAAUUAUUUUUUUAUUUUUUAUUUUUUCUUUCUUCUUCCUCUAGUCGCUGGCACGGUGAUGGCUGGCAACCGGCCAGGCAAGAGCCUCGCCAAUCUGGCAAGACUCGAACUCGCCGGCGUCAGGCAAGGCUCGAGCUCGCUAGACACCGACAAGCCUCAAGCUCGCCAGAUUUGGCGAGGCAAAGGCCCCGCUAACGUUCGGCGAGGCUUGAGUCUUGCUAGAUCCAACGAGGGGUGAGCUCAAGCUCGCUCGACGCCGGCAAGCCUCGAGCUUGCCAAAUCUGGCGAGGGGCGAGCUCAAGCUCACUCAACGUUGGUGAGCCUCGAGCUCAUCGGAUCCGGCAAGGCAGAGGCCUCACCAACAUUGACGAGCCAGGCGAGCUCCUGGUCGCCUGUGGCCGGCUGCCGGUUGUCGUCGUGGCCGACGGCCGGCCAAAGAAGAAGAAGAACAAAAAAUAAAAUUCAAAAUUCAAAAUUAUAUUUAAAAAAUAAAAAUAAAUUAAAAUUUAAUUUAAAAAAUAAAAAAUAAUUAAAAUUCGAUUUUUUAAAAUAUAUUUUUAAAAAAUUAUAAAAGUUGUCCAUUAAAUUUGCGUUGUAUAAAAUUAUUUUAGCAAUACUAUUAUAUAUAUAAGCUUUCUUAAAUUUAGUUAAAUGGGUCGGGUAUGGAUAGAGUAUGAAUCAAAAAUUUUGUAUUGUAAUAAUUGGUCAUAAACAAGUUAAAUGGGUCGAUUUGGGUCGGACCAUUUAUGACCCAACCCAAACCUGACUCGACCCACCUGUUUAACGGGUAUACCAGAACAUCAAUGACAAUGUUGCUACCGCAACUAGGCAACAACCACCGGAUAAUAGAAGACCCGGCAAUGUUGUCAUAGUUAGCAUUAUCAACAUUCUCGUUGGUGUUAGCCUCAACAAAAAAACAAAGCACCAUGAUCGCGGUGCCCAUCAUGAACUUCAUUGUCAUUGGGUGUUAGAAAAAUCCCUUAGGAUGUUUUAAAAAUGAUAAAAUAAAUCAAAGGUUAAUAAUGUGUUUAAUAAGAAAUUAUUAUUUUUUUGUAAAAUAGGGAGAGGGGGAAAUGAAAGGAAAUGCUUGCAAGACCCCUCUUGUUUCCAAUUUCUCUUAUUUUUUUUUUUGUAAAAUAGGGAAUUAUUUUCAACAAAAGUUAUUUUAGUCUAUUAAUCUCUUUUAUAUCUCUCAUAGCCUUUUAUUUUGACAUAUAUACAGGUCACUUAGUCUUUGUCUAGUCAUUUUGUCCGAGACGAUAAAUGUUUUGGAAUGAAGUUAUAAAAUCAUAAGUUCGGUUGGGGUGAUGUGAAAAUUAGUUCCAUGAGUUUCUCACCGUGCUUUGGAAACAGAAAUGAGAGAAAUCCUAUAAUCAUAUAUUGAUUAGUAGCUUCGUGGCAAUGAACAUAGUAGCAUUAAAUUCCCAUUUGCCAAUUCACAUGGACAACCAACUUAAUCCAUCAAUAAGUUCGCAUUUGGCAUUUGAUGGAUAUUGGAUCUCAUUUGGUUGAGCUGUAUUGCCAAUUUCAGGUGAAUCUCUUCCUUGUAAUUUCCCUAAUGGUUUCUAUGUGUCUACUGUCAGGUGAAGCCACCAUCAAAGAAUCUCCCUCAAAUUGUAAAACCCACUCCCAGACCUCUUCAACCAUCUUCUUCACCACCUCCCUCUCUUCUCUCAGACCUCAAGCUGCCCUCUCUAUCUCCAUUACCAACCCUGACUCUCUCUAUAACCGAUCAUGAUAAUCUGAUGAACUUUCUUAAGUCCAAACUCUCUUUCCCUCUUACACCCAGGAGUCUCCUCCACUUCCUCAAGUGCAAACUCCACCCCAACCCUCAUUUGACCCUCUAUGACUUUUAUAUAUUCAGUUGGGCCUCCACGGUUGACUCCUAUCGCCAUGACCACUCAACAUUUGAGUGGAUGGCUCGCACUCUCGCUAUUUCAAGCCGUUUCGAGCAACUCAAUUCGCUUCUCCAGUUCAUGGCCUCAAACCCUUGCCCUUGCUCUGAUGGAAUUUUCUCAUGCGCCAGGACAGAGCCAAUCUUUCAAUUCUCAAUAGAAACUUAUUGCAGAGCUCGGAAACGAGAGGAAAGCAGUGAUUGCUUUUGAGAGUAUGGAGAAGAUGAUUGAUGGCAGGCUGAGUGCGGUGAGUUAUAAUGCUUUGAUUCAUGGAUUUGUGAAAUGGGGUGACCAUGCCAGGGCUCUGGCCAUCUAUGAUCAAAUGAUAAGGAACAUAGUCAAGCCUAAUGUGAUAACCUUUAAUAUCUUGAUUAGUAGUUAUUGUAGAAUAUUACAGUUUGGAUUGGCUUGGUGGUGUUUAAGGAGAUGAAGGAGAAGGGUUGCAGCCCAGAUGUGGUCAGUUUCAAUACUUUGAUCAGGGGGUUUUUUCGGGAGAGGAAGUUUGAGGAUGUGAUCGCAAUGGCUUAUGAGAUGAUCGAACUGGGGUGCCAGUUGUCGAGUGUGACUUGUGAGAUUUUGGUCGAUGGCCUCUGUACGGAAGGUAAAGUAGCUGAGGCAUGUGAAUUGCUGAUUGGUUUUCCAAGUAAAAGAGUGUUGCCUGAGGAGUAUGAUUAUUUUGGCCUUGUGGAAGCUUUGUGCAGUUUAGGCAAUUCUCAUAGAGCACUUGAUGUUGUUACUGAUCUGUGAAAGACGGGAAAUAUUCCAAAUCUUGAUUGCUUGUAGUACUUUGGUGGAAGGGUUGAGGAAGCAGAAGAAAAGGGAAGAUGCACUUGCUUUGAUGGAAAAUAUGCUUAAAGAAGGUAUUGUACCAGACAUUGUGACGUUUAAUUGUUUGCUUGAGGAUCUUUCUGAUAUAGGGAAGACUGUGGAAGCAAACAAAUUGAGGUUGUUGGCGCAAAGCAAAGGUUUGGAACCAGAUGGCAUGAUGGACAGGGUUCUGGUAUCUGGUUUGACGAGAGAAAGAAAGAGAAAGGAGGGCCAGAUUCUGGUAGAUGAGAUGUUAGACAAGGACUUUAUACCUGAUCUUGCAACGUACAAUAGAUUGAUUGAUGGACUUUCAAACUCAAAAAUUACUUCUAGGAAGAAAGGUUGAAGAUGGGUUAGGAUCUUAUUCAUUUCAACUUGGUUUCUUGAAUGCUGGCAUCUGUUUGCAAACACCCUCAUGCUUUGUGCUUGGUUUGCCAAUCAGUUUUAUCACUUUGGGACAAAGUGGGUUUAUGGCUAUGUUUCAGAUGGUUGAGGACAAUGUACAGCCUGGGAGCGAACAGAACAGAUACUGGUACGUGCACAAAACGAGUGGAAAGGAACGGAAACUUCGCAUUGAGUUGUACGAAUUGUAAAGCCAGGAGAGCAGAUUGUGAUGCUCAGCAAGAGAUGAUGCGGAUAAGUAGUGCCCAGACGACAUCUAGGAGGUAUGAAUCAUUGUAACGGUGAUAAGCAUUAAUCCUAAGAUAUGAGAGAGCUGGAAAGUUUGAGUGACUGAGAAUAGUUUAUUUGGAUUAUGUUUGUAUAUAGACGUGAUUAAUAAUGAUACCAAUGAGCGUGUAUAUUAUAAAAGCUGCAGAAGAUGAACAUUGAAUUUUCUGGCAGAUCUCAAACUGACACCGAUUAAUCUAAUGAGGAAAAGCUUAGGGUAGAAAAUUCAUGCAAAUUCUGAUUUGGGCUCUGCUAUAUAUAUGAUAUAACUUGUGUGAGAUAGACCCUGGCAAAGAGAUUUCUUAGGAUUGAAAGCAAUGCAGAAAAGAGAAGGCAAGAGCCAAAGCUGUUAAAACAAAGUAUAAAAUCAUAAACCAUCAGGUUGGCAAAGCUGUCAAGUACUCGAUGUUGAUAGAACAAAUUAGGCACUUUACAUUUGGUUUGGUGGUGACACAGCCCUAAUAAUGCCCUUUUUCUGUGCUCCUCAUCGAUGAAUCGGUUGAUGAGAAAAAUAAUCCCCUAACUUCAUAAAUUCGGUAAGACAAAAACUCCAUGAGUGGCUCAAGUAUAAGAUUGUUUGAACUUGAUGAUAUAAUCGGCAUGCCUUAUCCAUGCAUACAUAUCUUUAGUGUGUGCAAGUGCUGCCAUUAAACUUUAGUUUUACAUUUUAUUAAAUGUAACACCAUAAAAAAGUUUUAUCUUGCUAAAAAGCUCUGGACCCUCUAGAUUACCAUAUUAAGACGACUCGUUUCAACUUUUUAACAGAGGAUAGAUUCAAAUCACGGCACUUGUUUAGGAUUUUUCUUUAUGAGACGAAAAUUAGUAUUUUGGAUUUUUGAUAGGCUAAAGUUUUGGAGUAAACGUAUCAUGAGAGCACAAAUUUUGUUUUGGGGGAGGGGGGUUGGGUUUUGAGACGAAAAUUAGUUUGAGGUACAUGUAUCAUAGGAUACUAAUUUGGGAUUUUUAGUCAUAUUAACCCUUGGCAUAAUGAUAUAUACAUAUAUAUUUAUGUAAUUUUGGAUGUCAAACACCAAAUUUAUCCUUCUUUAUGAUUUCUUAAAGUAAAUCUACAUAACAAACAUCACUUCAUAUCACAAACUGUCAUAAUCAAGUACAUGUAUAGGAUCCGAGGCAUGCUCAGAUCAUUACGAUAGACAGAAACAACAUUAGUGAAUCACAUGAUAGUGUAACCCAACAGCGAACUCGCUACAUAGCUUCAAGGAGUAGUAGUGGAAACAGACAUGUCUUUCGGAAUUGUGGGAACGACUGGUAGUGUUGGCUUAGGGAAAUCGAGGAGAUGAGUUAGUUCGGGCACUUUUGGUAAUUCUGGCUUCGGUAUUGCUGUUAAUUCUGGCUUGGGCAAUUCAGGAAGCGAUGGCAAUUCGACUUUUGGCAAAGAUCGCAAUUCAGGCUUUGGCAGUUCAGGGAGCGGCGGCAAUUCGGCUUUUGGUGAAGAUGGCAAUUCUGGCUUAGGCAAGCUCACAAUGUCGGGAAGAUGAGGCAAUUCGGGUUUGGGCAGUUCAGGCACUUCUGGUAAUUCUGGCUUCGGUAUUCUUGGUAAUUCAGGCUUUGGAAGUUCAGGAAUCGACGGCAAUUCAACUUUUGGCAAAGAUGGCAAUUCUGGCUUGGGUAGGCUCGGAAUGUCGGGAAGGUGAGGCAAUUCGGGCUUAGGUAAUUCAGGCACUUCAGGCAAUUCUGGCUUGGGCAGGCUCACAAUGUCGGGAAGAUGAGGCAAUUCGGGUUUGGGCAGUUCAGGCACUUCUGGUAAUUCUGGCUUUGGUAUUGUUGGUAAUUCAGGCUUUGGAAGUUCAGGAACCGACGGCAAUUCAACUUUUGGCAAAUAUGGCAAUUCUGGCUUGGGUAGGCUCGGAAUGUCGGGAAGGUGAGGCAAUUCAGGCUUAGGUAAUUCAGGCACUUCAGGUAAUGCUAACUCCAAAAGUUGGCGAGCUUCAACAAAAUUCUCGCCAAUCAUCAAGGACAGAGCAAGGACAAACAAUCCCAAAAUGUGCACAAACCUGUGAUAGUUUGCCAUUAUGGAAUUGACUAGCGAAAUGAAGAACUUCGAUGGUGAGGAGCUAUGAAUCUCAAGUGAAGAUGGUGGUGGUGUGUUUGAGGGAUGGCUUGGUUGGGGUUUUUAAAGAGGGGGACGUGGAGAUUAGGGAGAUUGCAAGUAUGUUUUGGUAGGAAAACUAGCAGAGUGUUAGCUCAACUUCGAAACCAAUUUCAUUUCCAUAUGUUCAACACGAUUUGAGCAAAUCAAACAAUCCCAGAAUGAUCUUGCCAACUCUAGGCUUCAAAAGCAUGUAAUGUAACCAUCAGCUGUAUUAUUUUGGUUAGAAAAAAAGCCAAAAAGAAUCUUACUCUGCACAAGUAUGUUUUCUUUUCAAUUUUUUCUCACUAACUUAAUUUUUGACUUACAUUCAGUGGACCAAGUUGAAAAGGGUCACUUAAACUUAUAUAAAAUAGAUUUAAAAUGGUUAAGAAAAUCAAACCCAACUAGAUGUGGAUUUUAAUGGUUCGGACCAAAUUCAUUUUAAUCAAACGAAAUAAAGAAUCGGCAAUAAAAAAUACAAGACAGGUCAUCUUGGGUUUUAAUGGAUUGGGAUUGAACUCAGUUGAUUAGAAUAAUAGAUUUCGAUUGAACUCAUUUGAUUCAAACUAAAAAAAAAAUUUGGGGAUAAAAAAGAGGAGUGGGAUAUCAUGGUUACUUUCCUUCCUUCUAUUUGCAUGUGGGAAAACACCAAAAAAUGUUAUAAAUAUAUUGCAUUUGUAUCAAUUCAGUCUUAGGCCGUUUAAUUAGAUUAAUUUAGUACUAAAAAUUUUGUUGAUGCCAACUAAUUCACGUGCAUGCCAGUUAUCUUAUGUAUGCCAGUUAUCUUAUGUGAUAUAAUCGACAUUAACAUUAAUAUUUUUUAAUAAUUUUUAUUUUUAUUUUUAUUUUUUUCUUUCUUUUUCUUCCUUUCAUUUGGCCAGCCGGAGGAGAGGGCAUUCGUGCCCUUGCUCAUAGCCAGCCACGAGUAAGGGUGUGAGAAGUCCCUCGCCCAGGCCCCAUCCAAAUUGACCCUCAAGAGCAGUUAGGCCCUAACCGGUCAAAAUGAAAGAAAGAAAAAUAUAAACAAUAAUUCAAAAAAAUUAAAUUGAAAAAAUUGUCCAUGUAAGCACCAAGCACCAAUCAUACUACAUAGGAUGGCUAGUUAGCAAUUUUCAACCAAAUUUGAUCAGAUAAACUGAAUUGACACAAAUGUAAAUAGUUUAAUAUAAAAUUGGUUCAAUAGAGAGAUUUAGGAUUGAAUUAGUCAUAAUACAAUAAGUAAAAAAAAAUAUUUAAAUUCUCCUUGCCAGAACAUCAAUGACAAUGUUGCUACUGCCGCUAGGCAAUAACCACCGGAUAAUUGAAGACCCAACAACGUUGUCAUAGUUGGCAUUAUCAACAUUCUCGUUGGUGUUAGCCUCAACAAAAGAACAAAGCACCAUGAUCGUGGUGCCCAUCAUGAGCUUCACUAUCGUCGGGUGUUUGGGAAAUCCCUUAGGAUGUUUUAAAGAUAACAAAAUAAAUCAAAGGUUACUAACGUGUUUAAUAGGAAAUUAUUUUUUUGUAAAAUAGGGAGGGGGGAAAUUAAAGGAAAUGCUUGCAAGUCCCCUCUUGUUUCCUAUUGCUCUUAUUUUUUUUGUAGAAUAGGGAAUUAUUUUUGACAAAAGUUAUUUUAGUCUAUUAAUUUCUUUUAUAUCCCUCAUAGCCUUUUAUUUUGACAUAUAUACAGGUCACUUAGUCUUUGUCUAGUCAUUUUAUCCGAGACGAUAAAUGUUUUGGAAUGAAGUUAUAAAAUCAUAAGUUGGGUUGGGGUGACAUGAAAAUUAGUUCAAUGAGUUUCUCACCGUGCUUUGGAAACCGAAAUGAGAGAAAUCCUAUAAUCAUUUAUUGAUUAGUAGCUUCGUGGCAAUGAACAUAGUAAGCAUUAAAUUCCCAUUUGCCAAUUCACAUGGACAACCAACUUAAUCCAUCAAUAAGGUCGCAUUUGGCAUUUGAUGGAUUUUUUUUUUUUUGAACGGAAACCCAUACUGUAUUAAUACGAGUGUCCCAUACAACUAGCGACUAUAGCAUCCGCGCUUAACAGGUUCAAGAGAGGAGGGAGCGAAAAAAGGGCCCAAUUACAAGUCAAACUAUUGCUAUUAUGGGCCUUACAGGCCCAGUCGGCUACCGCGUUUGCUUCCCUUCGAUAGAACCCUAGCGUUAGAUUGGGAAAUAGGUUUAACAGGAAUGCUGCCUCUGAGAAGAGAGAGCGAUCCGUCCAUGGCAGCAGUGUCCGACGAUUCAACGUUUCCACCAGAGUGAUAUUGUCUGAUUCGACGAUUAUCGGUGUGUUUUGGAGCCCCUGUUGCAGAAGAUGGCGGAGUGAGAAGGAUAAGGCUUGGAUCUCAACCUGUAUAGCCGAGGACGCAACAACCCCUAUGGAGAAACCAUCUGUAAGUCGGCCUUGAUGAUCCCUGCAAAUACAAGUUAUAUUGCCAUGAUUACUUCCCUUAUGAUAUGAUCCGUCUAUAUUAACCUUCAGAACCACGGGAUCUGGGGGAUGCUAGAGAUGACUUUUAUUUUUGACCGAGAACUCUUGUUGUGUAUAGGAAGCCGAGGACAACCGAUCUACCUGAGCGUGAUUUAGUGCCGCUUCUACGACUUGGGUCGGAUUGGGAGCAGUUCCUCUAAAAAUGAAGCCAUUUCGGGCUCGCCAGAAUUGCCACAUAACAUGAGAAAUAAAUGCCAGACGAGGUAAUCGGUUUCCUUCCCCGACCGUGGACACGAUCCACGAGUCCAGACGCUGAAUAAUGUUGGGAAUGACUAAGAUCUCGAUCUGGGAAUGAUUCCACACCUGAUGAGUCCACGAACAGAGUAAGAACAUAUGUUCUAAGGUUUCUGGAACCUUAUUUUUACAUAGUUGGCAGGGGGGAUUUUCUAAUAUAUGUCUGCGAUGCAGGUUGUCUCUCGUCGCCAAGGAAUUGCUGCAGAUGGACCAGAGGAAAACACGGAGUUUGGGUGCAGCAGGCAUUUUCCAGAUAUUACGCCAUAACCAAGUAGGGAUUUGGUAUGAUGUUGAAGCACCAGAAUUUGAGAUACCUUAUUUUGUCUGAAUAAUUGCAUGAUAUGUUGAUUUGACCGUAAAUUUUCCUUGCUUAGUAGCUGUCCAUAUAAGUGCAUCUGAAGUGAAGUUAGGCCUGAGUUGGAUGUCUGUUAUCUGUUGAAUGAUUGACAAGUCGAAAAAUCUGUACAAUAAAUCUAUCUUCCAUGAACUGGUAGCCUGAUCAAUAAGAUCAGCUACUAGUAGAGGUUCUUCUAGGGCUUUUGGUCCACCUAGAAUGCCCAUUGGGAGCCAUCUGUCUUCUCUAAUGUUGAUGCAUUUGCCAUCUCCCAUUGACCAACUAACAUUUGGUAAAAUAGCAUCCCUCUCGCUCAAGAGGCUCUGCUAGCCCCAUGAUGGGCGAGAGCCCUUGUUAGCUUUUAAAAAGGUGGAUGAGUGAAAAUAUAAAUCUCUAAAAAACUUGCCCCAUAAAGAUAAGGGUUGAUGAAUUAGAUGCCAUGCUUGCUUAUCGAGCAUGGCUUGAUUAAAACUCAUCAAAUCUCUGAAGCCCAAUCCCCCUAAUUCAUUUCGGUUCUGUAAAGUUUUCCAACUCUGCCAAUGAAUUCCAGAUCUGCUUGUAUCAUUGCUCCACCAAAAUUUAGCAAUUCUCUGUUCAAUAACUUUACAUAAUGAGAUAGAAAUCUUAAAAACAGACAUGGCGUAUUGUGGAAUAGAUUGAAUGACAGUCUUUAGCAGAACUUCUUUCCCUCCCUUAGAAAUUAGUUUGUCCUUCCACCCUUCUAAUUUCGAUUGAACUCUACUCAACAGCCAAUAAAACAUAUCCCUUUUAGAUCUUCCCCAAUAUGUAGGUAUCCCUAAAUACUUCUCACAUUGCUGUAAAACAGGUACCCUUAAUUCCCUAGCCAAAUUUUCCUGGAGAGAGAUAGGACAAGAAGGACUGAAGAAAAUUCCAUAUUUAUUUCGAUUAAUAGUUUGUCCAGAAGCCAGGCAAUACUGGUUUAGAAUAUUAGAUAGGUUCUGACACUCCAGUAAGGUACCAUUAAGAAAGAACACGGCAUCAUCAGCGAAAAAGAGAUGUGAUAAAGUAGGACACCAUUUAUUCAACUUAAUGCAUUUGAGUAAGGCCCAUAUCCAUAGCAUUUCUAAUUAGGAAGGAUAAGAGAUUGGCUAUAAGGAUAAACAAGUAAGGGGAUAAGGGAUCUCCUUGCCUCAGCCCUCGAGUUGGGUGAAAACUCGGUAAAUACUCACAAUUCAUUUUGACAGAGAAAGAUGUAGUUGAAAUGCACUGCAUAAUUAGGUGGACCCAAUGAGAAUGAAAGCCUAAUCGAAGUAAAUAAUCUUGAAGAAAGUCCCAUUCAACACGGUCAUAAACUUUCUGCAUAUCUAACUUAAGAAUAGCUUUAAAAUGACGCCUCCGUUACUAGUCUUAAGCUGAUGAAUGACUUCCUGUACGAUGAGAACAUUGUCCUGAAUUUGUCUUCCAGCAACAAAAGCACUUUGUUCCUCAGUAAUCAGCGUAGGCAGCAAGGAUUUUAAUCUAUUAGCUAGUACUUUAGAGAAAAUCUUAUAGGCAUAGUUGCACAAGCUAAUAGGACGAUACUGAUCCAAGCUUUCUGGGUUUGGGGUUUUGGGGAUUAGGGUUAUAGCGGUUCUGUUUAAAGGUAAAGGUAAUGAUCCAGAAGUAAAGAAUUGCUGAACUGCUUUGUGAAUGUCCACCUUAAGAACUUCCCAAUGCGAUUGAUAAAAUAGUCUAUUUAAACCAUCUGGGCCUGGUGCCUUUGAAGCACCUAAUUGAAAUGUGGCCACUUUAACUUCUUCGAGAGUGGGUUGAACGAGAAGUGUUGCAUUCAUGUCUGCAUCAACCAUCUGUGGACACUGUUGUAAAAUCUGUGCAUAACAGCGAGGGCCUGAAGUGGUAUAUAGCUGUGAAAAAUAAUCUGUAGUGAGUUCUUUGAUCUGUCCAUUAUCCCAAACCCAUUACUGAUGUUCAUCCCUCAAUAUAGUAAUUUGAUUACGUUGUCUUCUUUGAAGUGUGGUAGCAUGAAAGAACUUAGUAUUGCGGUCUCCCCACUUUAACUAGUUUAUCCUAGAUCGCAUCACCCAAAAUUGCUCUUCCCUCUGCCAUACUUUUUGAAGUUUUUUUUUUUUUAUCAUUUGUUGUCGACAUUGAUUCAUUAAAGUAGGAUGCUGAUUUGUCAAAGUUUGUAACUGGUGCUCUAAUUCCAUUGCAUGUUGCCUGUUGUGGGAGAAAUUCUGGCAACUCCAAGUGGAUAAGGCUGCAGCAACCACGCGAAGCUUGACUGGGAGAGGAGAGUCCUGCCUCGAGACAGAGUGCCAAGAGGUUUCAAUGACUGAGUGACAUCCCGGGUCCUGAUUCCAGAAAGCUUCAAAAGUAAAGUGUCUCUUUCGUCGACCCGAACAGGGUUUUGCAUCUAAAACAAUUGGGCUAUGAUCUGAUCCCACUGCAGAGAGAGCUAGCACUUGAGCAUUCGGGUACGUGACACGCCAUUCAGCAGUGCAUACAGCUCGAUCAAGAUGCUCCUUCACCAAGGCUUCCCCAUCACGGUGAUUGGACCAAGUGAAAGCACAACCAUGAGAAGGUAGAUCCAACAAGCAGCAAUCAUUAAGGACAUCUCGAAAUGAAGAGAGGCGGUAAGAGUCCGCAGGCCGAGAUCCCAUUUUCUCCCAACGGUGAAGAAUUUCAUUAAAAUCACCAAGGCACACCCAAGGUAAGACAUUAUAACUACCAAAUUGUUGCAAGGUCUUCCAAAGAUGCCGACGGUCAUGAAAAACUGCAGGGGCAUGAAUGCAAGUAAUCCUCAUAGAUCUGGCCUCCGAAAUUUCCAGACAAAGAAAAUCCAAAAAAUGAGGAUUGGAGGAGAAGUCAGACAGCGAGAUCCCACCAUUCCAAAAAAGAGCUAAGCCACCUACAAAGCGAACAGGGUUGAACAGCUUGUGGUGCAAAAAACGGAAGGAACGUUUAAGGCGAAGGAGUACUUCAUCACCAUUCUUCGUUUCCAUAAAAAAUAACAGGUCAAGCUUUUCUUUAGCCAAAAAGGCUUUUAAGGAUAGGACUGUCAAGGGAUUUUCCAAACCCUGACAGUUCCAACUGAUAAUUUUCAUUGUUGUUCUAGUGGCUGUUUAGGGCCAGCCACCGUCGCCCACGAACCAUCUUCAGACGCCUCUACAAUUGGCAUAUCCAACAAGAAUGAAUCAUCAUAAACUCCUAGUGGCCCUCCAGGUAAGUCAUAUGGAGUAUAGCGUCUCGGUUUCUUAGCAGGACCUUUUUUGAUAUUCUGACGCACAAUUUUGCCUUUUUUUUACUUGAGGAGUUGAUAUGGGCAAUUGUACUCCUUUAAGCUUCUCUAAUGCUGGAAUUAGAGCGGUCGUGAGAUUUUGUUGCACUGAAGGAGUGAAGCCCAAGGUAUCAGUACCAGCCUGUGGUGUGGUUGGAGUAGCCUUUUGUGGAGAGGAGGUUGUUUUAGGAAUAGGUGGUAGUAGAAGAGGGAGAGGGCGAAUAUCAGUGGGAGGUGUUUCGGGUAUGGUUUCCUCUCGCUCCUCCUCCAUAAUUGAUUCUCCAUAGUAACACUUCCAGUAAGGGCUGUACUGUUGAACUUUAGCUUUUAACUAGGGACCGUAAGGAGUUGUUCCAGCAUCGGUGAUCAUAUUCUCCUCAAAAGGGAUGGUGGGGCAAGAGUCAGUAUAAUGGCCCGAUCGUCCACAAGAGUAACAGUAAUGAGGUAACUGUUCAUACCGAAAUUCCAACCACAGAGUUUGAUUUUUGUAUUUAAUUAGUCGACCUACCUUAAAAGGUUCAGAUAAAUUCAACUCUACUCUAGCGCGGCCUGCUUUCAGGGUGGAACUAGUAGCAAAGUCAGACUUAACUUGCAGAACAGGGCCUAUCAGACUAACAGCCUUACGGAUCAUAUCAUCGGUACAACAUUCUAAAGGCAGCCCAAUUACCUAAACCCAGAAUGCACAAGUAGAGAAGUCAUAACAGUGCAGAGGGGUAUUGGCUACCCUGGGUUUAAAAUUUAUAAGGUGUCCCGAGAAUUGCCAAGGGCCUUUGUCUAGAAUUCUCUAUUUUUCAGCUUGAGACCUAAAUUUGGCUAAAUAAAUUCCCGCUUCUCUCUAUAGGAUUUCCACUUGGUCGGACCUCCAUGCCCUCUUCAAGACUGACUAGAAAGCUGGGAAAUUGAAGGAAGGGUUGGAUGGAACUUUACCAAUUGACGGUAGCUUACACUCCUUGACUGCGCCAAGUGCGGGUUCAACUUGCCAUUCUUCAAUUGCUUUUUCUGUGCAUAAUCGGCCCAAUUUUUUACAAAGUGCAGCAACUCAAGAUGCAUCAUCUUCGCUAGCCAUUGAUGAAAUGACGGAUUGCCUUAACAGAUGAAGGUCGUGAACAUAAAAAUAUCGACAUGCGAAAGGAGAAACGGAAGAACCCUAGAGGUGGAGAAAAGAAAACCAGCCAAACAAUCGCUGGCGAGAUGUGUAUGGGUUAACUGAUUAAACUUGUGAAGGAAAGGAGAGAGGAAGAUGAUGAAGAAUUGCCGUUUGCAUGGCGACAGUAAGAUACUGGAGACUGAAGACAAAAGGGUUUAACAGAGAAGAAGAACUCUACCUAAUAGAUAGAGAGGAAACUUGACAAGACGAGAGGGUAAGUGCAUUUGAUGGAUAUUGGAUCCCAUUUGGUUGAGCUGUAUUGCCAAUUUCAGGUGAAUCUCUUCCUUAUAAUUUCCAUAAUGGUUUCUAUGUGUCUACUGUCAGGUGAAGCCACCAUCGAAGAAUCUCCCUCAAAUUGUAAAACCCACUCCCAGACCUCUUCGACCAUCUUCUUCACCACCUCCCUCUCUUCUCUCAGACCUCAAGCCGCCCUCUCUAUCUCCAUUACCAACCCUGACUCUCUCUAUAACCAAUCAUGAUAAUCUGAUGAACUUUCUUAAGUCCAAACUCUCUCUUUCCCUCUCACACCCAGGAGUCUCCUCCAAUUCCUCAAGUGCAAACUCCACCCCAACCCUCAUUUGACCCUCUAUGACUUUUAUAUUCAGUUGGGCCUCCACGAUUGACUCCUAUCACCAUGACCACUCAACAUUUGAGUGGAUGGCUCGCACUCUUGCUAUUUCAAGCCGUUUCGAGCAACUCAAUUCGCUUCUCUAGUUCAUGGCCUCAAACCCUUGCCCUUGCUCUGAUGGAAUUUUCUCAUGCCCUAAGACAGAGCCAAUUUUUCAAUUCUCAAUAGAAGCUUAUUGUAGAGCUCGGAAACCAAAGGAAGCAGUGAUUGCUUUCGAGAAUAUGGAGAAGAUGUGUUGCGAUAGGGUGAGCGAUCGAACAAAAUAUAGACAGAAGAAGAAAAUAAAUCGGACACCAGAUUUACGUGGUUCAAUCGUAAAGACCUACAUCCACGGGGAGAGCAGCAGCCAAUAUCACUAUAGAUCAAGCGAUACAAGGAGAUUACACACUCAAGUCACUCAAAUACUCUCUCGGUGUUUCCCAAACCCCAAUUUAAUCCCAAACCCAACUCACGACACAAAAUUACCACGCGUUCAAGCUCAAAAUACAACGCUCUACGUACGCCUGAUUUGCAUACGCACGAAAUCCCGUAUCUUUUUGAGCUUCGCGCGACUUCGAGCAAUUAGUGAAUGUGCGGCUUGUUGGAUCAUCGAACGUCUGUGGCUUCGUAGGGUUUAUUUCACAGAGACUUCAUGCAAGCCGUCCCACGCACUCUCGCAGAGAAGAAAAUAUAUUGUAUAUAUAUGUGUGCCCAGGAAAGGUCAAAUAAUUGACCUGGGCCCACCAUCCACGUAUUUAGCUUCACACGGCAGAUUCCUCUCUCAGUGGACGUGUGUGUGCGUGUGUGUGCCCAAGGUCAAAACUUUGACCUUGGGCCCCACCAAUAAACCAAUCUUCGCAUGAAGAGGAAAUCCCGUGCAAGAGCUUCGCGAGUUUCGGAUUCCGCAUAAUUUCCGAAGAGGAAAUUCAUAUCUAUUUUAGCAAACGCUCAAACUUGAGUCAUAUUUAACAAUCUCCACCUUGGCUCGACGUUUGAGCUAAGUUGCAAUCGCUUCAUAAAAUUUUCAAAUUCUACUGCUACUUUCCUAUAGCCCCCCGAUGGGCUCAACUGCCACAGAUAUAAUUCAAGUUCAAGCUUCGCUUGAACUUCACCAUAACUGAGGACCUCAUCAGAGUACCAACUCCACAUACACUUUUAACUGCUCCGCAAGGAUUUUCUGACACAACCUCCUUAACCGCAGAUAAAGCAAAACCAUUAUUGCAUCCAUAUCUAUCAAAAGAUCGAAUACGUACAUUGUUAAUUUCAGCAGUUACAGCAACCGUUGGCUCCAUAAGCUCCACCUCGCUACAAAUACCAUAUGUGUCAAUUACUUUGCUAGUACUUGUACUCGCUACCUUAGGAGUUUCUGGUUGCAACUCCACCUCAAGCUGAACACCGUCCAGAUCUGUAUUAACACUGCCACAAACACUCCUAGCCAUAAGUAUUGGAGACUCAUCAAGGGUAACUUCUCUGCUGUUAACAAGUGAAUUUAUAUCUGUGCACCACAACGGAUCACCCCGCUCACCUUGUACAUAGCCAUGGAAUAUGCACCAUGCCCUCCAAUCGAGCUUACCAUCACUCACUCGAAAAUAACAUGGGCAACCAAACAUUCUAAUAAUAGAAUAAUCAGCAACGUUACCUGACAACACUUCUUCAGGAGUCUGCCAUUCAAUAGCAGUUGAUGGGAAUCUAUUCACCAGGUAGCUUACCGUACUUAGCACAUCAGCCAUGAAUCUCCUAGCCAUACCAGCACUAGAGAUAAUUUUUCGAGCAAUCUCUAGUAAUGUUCUGCUCGUCAAUUUUGCAAAUUGUUGUGAUUUAUUGGCACUAGUGCGGUGUUUCACUAUGCUCUCUUUCAUGCAAAAUUUAUUUGCCAGCUUCGAGUAGAACUCCAUGCUAUUGUCAGUCCGCACAUGCUUGAUCGACUUAUCAGUCUCCAUCUCGAUCAAAGCUCUUGACUGCAUGAUCCUAACACCAGCAUCAAACUUGUGCCUUGGCACAAACACCUAGGUCUUCCUCGAGUAGUCAAUAGACUCUCGAACAAAUGCAUUCGACGUCUCCGCAACGAAAUUUAUCACUGUCUCACCUUGAAGUUUAUACAAGCCAUCGUGCUUGAUUCCUUUCAUUAUCACUAGGGCACCUCGAACAACCUUCAGAAUUCCACCUUUUAAAGAAUACCUGCAACCAGCUGAAUCUAGGGCACCCAAGGAAAUUAAGUUCUUUUUCAAUUCCGGAACAUGCCUCACUCCAGUCAAUGUCCUCACGAUACCAUCAUGCAUUCUGAUUUUAACAUCACCAACACCCACAACAUCGCACUCAGCGUUGUUCCCUAACUUGACCUUAUCACUACCCAUGCAUUGAUAAGUGAUAAACCAAUUUCUAUUUGGUGUGACAUGAAAAAAACAACUAGAAUCCAUAACCCAUCCAUCAAGUGAUGAAUCAUUAGUGAUAGACAAGACAUAAUCGGCAUUAUCUGCUACAGCUGCAACAUUAUCUGUAGAAUCAACCAUAAUUCCCUUACCUUUCUCAUUUUUCAGCUUAAGGCAAUCCCUUCUAAGAUGCCCCCUCUUGCCACAGCUCCAACAGACAGCAUUAGUAGUCCUAGAUUGACUUCGUCUGUUCAUAUUAGUACUACCAUUACCCACAUGUGUUACAAAUCUUCCUCUAUUUUCACCUACUAGAGUAGUAGAUACAGAUUCGCCAGAUUCUCUUCUACGAAUGUCCUCGCUCAGAAUCAAAUCUCGAACCCCAUCAAACGUCAAACUUGUUGACCCAGAGGAAUUACUAACAUCAGUAACGGUAGUAUUCCAACUAUCAUGCAAUGAGGAUAAUAGAAUCAAAGCACGUACCUCAUCUUCAAAAUCAAUCUCAAUUGACUAACAAUUACAUUGAAUUCAUUGAUAUGAUCUGCAACUGACGCACCUUCUUUCAUCUUUAAGUUAAAUAGACAUCGCAUCAAACAGACCUUGUUGAUCACAGAGGGCUUCUCGUACAUAUCCGAUAGGGCUUGCAUCAAAUCAGCAGUGGUCUUCUCCUUCAGGAUGUUAAACGCGACGUUACGAGCCAACAUCAGUCGAAUAACACCCAUAGCUCGUCUAUCCAGCAAAUCCCAAUCAGCUUGCUUCAUCAUCUCUGGUUUCUCCCCAAAUAAAGGCAAGUGCAGAUUCAUCUGGUAAAGAUAAUCUUCAAUCUGCAUCUUCCAGAAACUAAAAUCCUUCCCAUCAAAUUUGUUGAUUCUCACUUUUACUUCUUCUGUCGCCAUCGAUUCGCUUCAACUCAGCCAAACCUAGCUCCAAUACCACUUGUUGUGAUAGGGCGAGCGAUCGAACAAAAUAUAGACAGAAGAAGAAAAUAAAUCGGACACCAGAUUUACGUGGUUCAGUCGUAAAGACCUACGUCCACGGGGAGAGCAGCAGCGAAUUUCACUAUAGAUCAAGCGAUACAAGGAGAUUACACACUCAAGUCACUUAAACACUCUCUCAGUGUUUCCCAAACCCCAAUUUAAUCCCAAACCCAACUCACGACACAAAAUUACCACGCGUUCAAGCUCAAAAUACAACGCUCUACGUACGCCUGAUUUGCGUACACACGAAAUCCCAUAUCUCUUUGAGCUUCGUGCGACUUCGAGCGAUCGGUGAAUGUGUGGCUUCUUGGAUCGUCGAACGUCUGUGGCUUCGUAGGGUUUAUUUCACAAAGACUUCAUGCAAGCCGUCCCACGCACUCUCGCAGAGAAGAAAAUAUAUUGUAUAUAUAUGUGUGCCCAGAUAGGUCAAACAAUUGACCUGGGCCCACCAUCCACGUAUUUAGCUUCACAUGGCAGAUUCCUCUCUCGGCGGACAUGUGUGUGCGUGUGUGUGCCCAAGGUCAAAACUUUGACCUUGGGCCCCACCAAUAAACCAAUCUUCGCAUGAAGAGGAAAUCCCGUGCAAGAGCUUCCCGAGUUUUGGAUUUUGCAUAAUUUCCGAAGAGGAAAUUCAUAUCUAUUUUAGCAAACGCUCAAACUCGAGUCAUAUUUAACAAGAUGAUCGAUGGCAAGCCGAGUGCGCUGAGUUAUAAUGCUUUGAUUCAUGGAUUUGUGAAAUGGGGUGACCAUGCCAGGGCUUUGGCCAUCUAUGAUCAAAUGAUAAGGAACAGAGUCAAGCGUAAUGUGAUAACCUUUAAUAUCUUGAUUAGUAGUUAUAGUAGAAAUUUACAGUUUGGAUUGGCUUUGGAGGUGUUUAAGGAGAUGAAGGAGAAGGGUUGCAGCCUAGAUGUGGUCAGUUUCAAUACUUUGAUCAAGGGGUUUUUUCGGGAGAGGAAGUUUGAGGAUGCGAUCGGAAUGGCUUAUGAAAUGAUCGAACUAGGUGUUAGCCGGGUUCACUCCUAUGUAGAGGAGGCCUAAUGAGUUGGAAGCCUAAAAAAGGCUUGAACCCAUAUGAUAAGUUAUAUGAGAAAAUAGAGUUUCGCAUUAUCUAUAUAAAGAGAUAGCUGCAAAAAAGGAAAAGAAAAAGAGAAAGCAGAAAAUUUGGGGUUUUGGGCAAUAUCUGAUUUACAUCAAGCUAGCGUCGGAGGUCGAUCCGUGGUCCGAUUGAGCUAAAAUUUUGUUAGCAUGUUCAUGGCGCAAUUUUAUUGAAUCUGAACGAUUUGAUUUUCAUUUGAAGUUCCCUACAUUAGGUUUUUCGUGGAUUGAUCAAAACUUUCGUUUUUUGUCAGAUUUAUCCUUGAUCUCUUGUGAAGUUCUUGUGUAUUGCCAAGAAUUAUGUUCUUGAGAUCUUUGCUGCUAUGUACCUCUAGUAUUUGCUAGAGAAGAAUAAUUUUGUUGAUAGUGAAGAAUUUCGGGUGGACUCCGGUCCCGUGGUUUUUGAUCUCCUCACAUCGAGGAGGUUUUCCACGUAAAAAUCAUCUUGUGUUCACAUGUUUGGUAUUUACUUUACUCUACUAUAUCGAUUUCUAUUAGGUUUACACAAGAGGGGAGAUUAUUUUAUUUCGCUGCGUUGAUUCGAUAUUGUUCGAAUUAUUACCGUUCUCCCAUCAGAGUGGUAUUAGAGCAUCUAGUUAUUGCUUGAUUUUUCUGCCUUGUGUUAAAUAAUGGAAACGAAUACGAGUGGAAUGGUUACAUUGAAUGGUUCGAAUUAUCAUAUUUGGAAAGAGAAGAUGGAAGAUCUUUUAUAUGUUAAAGAUUUUUAUUUUCCUAUAUUUGCUGAGGAGAAACCAGAGAAUAAAACUGAUGCUGAAUGGUCUAUAUUUCAUUGUCAAGUGUGUGGUUAUAUUAGGCAGUAGGUAGAUGAUAAUGUUUUGAACCAUAUUAUUGAGGAAACACAUGCACACAGUUUAUGGGAUAAGCUCGAACAGUUAUAUGCUCAAUAGAUUGGGAAUAAUAAGUUAUUUUUGAUAAAACAAAUGAUGGCUCUGAGAUAUCAUGAUGGUACUCGUUUGAUUGAUCAUUUAAAUUCUUUUCAAGGAAUAUAAAUCAGUUGGCUGCGAUGGGAAUCAAGUUUGAUGAUAAGAUACAAGCACUAUGAUUGCUUGGUACUUUGCCGGACUCCUAGGAGACAUUCCAAACAUCUUUGUCUAAUUCUGCCCCCAAACGGUACGAUUACCAUGGAUUUGGCCAAGAGUAGUAUUUUGAAUGAAGAGAUGAGAAGGAAGAUACAAGGAUCGUCCUCUUCACAUUCUGAUGCCUUAGUUGUUGAGAAAAGGGGGAGAAGUGAAUCUCGAGGUUCGAGAAAUAGAGAUAAAAUUCGAGAUAAAAGCAGAGGUAAGUAUAAUAAAUUUGCUAAUGUUGAGUGCCAUUAUUGUCAUCGGAAUGGACAUAUUCAGAGGUUUUGUCGCUAGUUAAAAAUGGAUAAACAAAAGGAGAAAGGUAAAGAAAAGACAAGUGAUAAUGACAGUGAUGACAAUCGUGUCGCUGCACUUAAAGAAGAUUUUCUCACUAUUUUUUAUGGUGAUGUGGUGAAUUUUGUAUCUCAUGAGACUAGUUGGGUAAUUGAUAGUGAUGCAUCCGUUCAUGCUACAUCUCGUAGGGAUUUCUUUACAUCAUACAGGUCAGGUGACUUCAUAUUUAUGAAGAUGGGAAACAAUGGACUAGCUCAAGCUGUAGGCAUCGGUGAUAUGUGCCUAGAAACUAGCAAUGACACAAGGUUAGUAUUGAAUAAUAUUAAGCAUAUACCUGAUAUCCACUUGAAUUUGAUUUCUACAAGCAAGUUGGAUGAUGAGGGAUAUUGCAGCACCUUCAGUAAUGGUCAAUGAAAACUCACCAAAGGUUCUCUUGUUGUGGCUAGAGGUGAAAAAUAUUCUUCGUUGUACAUUAUGCAGGCAAAGUUAUCCACAGACAAAAUUAAUGCAGUAGACAACGAAGAUGCAGCUGAAUUAUGGCAUAAGAGGCUCAGUCACAUCAGUGAGAAGGGUUUGUCAAUAUUGGCCAAGAAGAAGCUCCUUUCAGGAUUGAAAAGUUCAGCGCUAAAGAAGUGUGCUCACUGUUUAGCAGGAAAACAUAACAGAGUUGCAUUUAAAAGCUCCCCUCCUUUAAGAAAGUCAGGUAUACUAGAAUUAGUGUAUUAUGAUGUUUGCGGUCCUAUGAAAACAAAAUCACUUUGUGGCUCUCUUUAUUUUGUUACCUUCGUAGAUGAUUUUUCAAGGAAAAUUUGGAUUUAUGCCUUGAAAACUAAAGAUCAAGUGUUAUAUGCUUUUAAGCAAUUUUAGGCUUCAAUUCAGAGACAGACUGGAAAGAAAUUGAAAUGCAUCAGAACUAAUAAUAGGAGAGUGUAUAUUGGACCUUUUAAUGAAUAUUGCAGACAACAAGGUAUUCGACAUCAAAAGACACCUCCCAAGACGCCUCAGUUAAAUGGCUUAGCUAAGAGAAUGAACAUAACACUGGUUGAAAGGAUAAGAUGCUUACUUUCACAGUCAAAGCUACGUGGAUCUUAAGUACAGUUGUGCAUGUAUUAAAUCUUACUCCAUGCGUUCCUUUAGAGUUUGAUAUUCAUAAUAGAGUUUGGACAGACAAAGAUGUUUCUUAUGAUUAUUUGCAUGUCUUUGGGUGCAAAGCAUUUGUGCAUAUUCCCAAAGAUGAGAGGUCUAAACUUGAUGUGAAAACACGACAGUGCAUAUUUAUUGGUUAUGGACAGAAUAUGCUUGGCUACAAAUUUUAUGAUCCGCUUGAAAAGAAAAUUGUAAGAAGCAGAGACAUUGUGUUUUUGGAAUAUCAAACAAUAGAGGAUAUUGAGAAAGCAUAGAUGAUUUCAGCACCACAAGUUAGUGAUAAUCUGGUUGAUUUAGAUCCGGUUCCUCUUACAAAUAUUCCUACACAGUUGAUGAAGAGCAGCAGGAAGUCAAUGUUCCAAAUAACGCACAUGUUCCUGAACAUGUUGAAAUAGAUAAUACUAUUCCUGAACCAGAGGCUCAAUUAGAUGUUCCACUGGAUGUUCUAGUCCGAAGAUUUGUUAGAGACCAACGACCUUUCACCAGGUAUUCUGAGGAUGAGUAUGUAUUAUUGACUGAUGUAGAUGAACCAGAGUGCUAUGCAAAAGCAAUAGAAGAUGAGUACAAAAACAAUUGGUUCAAUGCUAUGCGAGAUGAGAUGCAGUCACUUUAUGAUAAUCAAAAUUUUGAGUUAGUGAAGUUAUUUAAAGGUAAAAGAGCUUUGAAGAACAAGUGGGUAUAUAGGUUGAAGCAAGAUGAACAUACUUUACAACUACGGUACAAAGCUAGAUUGGUUGUUAAGGGAUUCGGUCAUAGAAAGGGUAUUGAUUUUGAUGAUAUAUUUUCUCCGGUAGUAAAAAUGUCUUCUAUCCGUGCGGUACUAGGCUUGGCAACUAACCUAGAUUUGGAAAUUGAACAAAUUGAUGUUAAAACAGCCUUCCUACAUGGUGACUUGGAGGAAGAGAUAUACAUGGAACAACCCGAGGGUUUUAAAGUGAAAGGGAAAGAGGAUUAUGUGUGAAAAUUGAAUAAAGGUCUCUGUAGCCUAAAACAAGUACCAAGGCAGUGGUAUAAGAAAUUUGUGUCAGUUAUGACAAAACAGGGCUAUAAGAAGACUUCCUCAGAUAACUGUGUGUUUGUUGAAAAAUUUUCUGAUGAUGACUUUAUUAUUCUCUUGCUUUAUGUUGAUGAUAUGCUAAUUAUUGGCAGGAAUGCUUCAAGAAUUGAGUUAUUGAAGAAACAGUUGAGCAAGUCUUUUGCCAUGAAAGACUUGAGCUCGGCGAAGCAGAUCCUUGGCAUUAGAAUUACCCGAGAUAGAGAUGCUAAGAAGUUAUUUUUGUCGCAAGAGAAAUAUAUCGAGAAGAUCCUUCAGAAAUUUUACAUGGACAAGACUAAAGUGAUUAGUACUCCUCUUGCUACCCACUUUAAGUUAAAUAUGAAGCAAAGUCCUACGACUGAUAAAUAAAAGAAAGAUAUGGAAAGUGUUCCAUAUGCCUCAGUUGUAGGAAGCUUAAUGUAUGCGAUGGUAUGUACACGCCCAGACUUGGCGCACACAGUUGGCAUUGUUAGUCGCUAUUUGUCAAAUCUAGGCAAAGAACACUGGAAUGCAGUGAAGUGGAUUAUGAGGUAUCUUCGGGGAACUUCAAAUUUGAAACUCAGUUUCGGGACCGGGAAGCUUGAGUUAGUUGGAUACACAGAUUCUGACUUGGCAGGAGAUAUUGAUACUCGUAAAUCUACUUCUGGUUAUUUGAUUUCUUUUGCGAGUGGAGCUGUGUCAUGGAAGUCAAGAUUGCAGAAGUAUGUUGCACUUUCUACAAUCGAAGCUAAAUUUAUUGCAGCGACUGAAGCUAGUAAAGAAAUGCCAUGAAUGAAGAAGUUCUUAGAAGAACUUGGGUUCAAGCAAAAGAGGUAUGUGCUAUUUUGUGAUAAUCAAAGCGCAAUUCAUCUUGGUAAGAAUUCAUCUUUCAUUCUAGAUCGAAACAUAUUGAUGUUAGAUAUCAUUGGAUAAGGAAUGUUCUAGAUGAAAAGUUAUUGGAACUUGAAAAAAUUCAUACGGAUCAUACUGGCUCUGAUAUUAUGACAAAGACUCUACCAAAAAAGAAACUUGAACAUUGCCAAUUAAUAGCAAGGAUGGUGAAUCGCUCCACAUAUGUCGUGAGGGGGAGAUUUGUUAGCUGGGUUCACUCCUAUGUGGAGGAGGCCCAAUGAGUUGCAAGUCCAAAAAGGGCUUGAGCCCAUAUGAUAAGUUAUACGAGGAAAUAGGAUUUCUCACUAUCUAUAUAAAGAGGUAGCCACAAAAAAGGAAAAGAAAAAGAGAAAGCAUAAAAUCUAGGGUUUGGGGCAAUAUCUAAUUUACAUCAAGCUGGCGUCGGAGGUCGAUUCGUGGUCCGAUUGAGCUGAAAUUUUGUCAGCAUGUUCGUGGCACAAGUUUAUCAAAUCUGAACCGUUUGAUUUUCGUUUGAAGCUCCCUAUAUCAGGUUUUUUGUGGAUUGAUCAGAACCUGCGUUUUUUGUCAGAUUUAUCAUUGAUCUCUUAUAAAGUUCAUGUGCAUUGCCAAGAAUUAUGUUCUUGAGAUAUUUGCUGCUAUGUACCUCUAGUAUUUGCUAGAGAAGAACAAUUUUGUUGAUAGUGAAGAAUUUGGGUGGACUCCGGUCCCGUGGUUUUUGAUCUCCUCACAUCGAUGAGGUUUUCCACGUAAAAAUUGUCUUGUGUUCACGUGUUUGGUAUUUAUUUUACUCUGCUAUAUCGAUUCCUAUUAGGUUUACACAAGAUUGAAGAUUAUUUUAUUCCGCUGCAUUGAUUUGAUAUUGUUCGAAUUAUUACCAUUCUCCCAUCACUGGGGUGCCAGCUGUCAAGUGCGACUUGUGAGAUUUUGGUGGAUGGCCUAUCUAGGGAAGGUAAAGUGGCUGAGGCAUGUGAAUUGUUGAUUGGUUUUUCAAGUAAAAGAGUGUUGCCCUGAGGAGUAUGAUUAUUUUGGCCUUGUGGAAGCUUUGUGCAGUUCAAGCAAUUCUCAUAGAGCAUUUGAUGUUAUUACUGAUCUGUGGAAGACGGGGAAUAUUCCAAGCUUGAUUGCUUGUACUGCUUUGGUGGAAGGAUUGAGGAAGCAGAAGACAAGGGAAGAAGCACUUGCUUUGAUGGAAAAUAUGCUUAAAGAAGGUAUUGUGCCAGACAUUGUGACGUUUAAUUGUUUGCUUGAGGAUCUUUCUGAUAUAGGGAAGACUGUGGAAGCAAACAAAUUGAGUUUGUUGGCGCAAAGCAAGGGUUUGGAACCAGAUGGCAUGACGUACAGGGUUCUGGUAUCUGGUUUUACGAGAGAAAGAAAGAGAAAGGAGGGCCAGAUUCUGGUAGAUGAAAUGUUAGACAAGGACUUUAUACCUGAUCUUGCAACGUACAAUAGAUUGAUUGAUGGACUUUCAAACUCAAAAAUUACUUCUAGGAAGAAAGGUUGAAGAUGGGUUAGGAUCUUAUUUUCAACUUGGUUUCUUGAAUGCUGGCAUCUGUUUGCAAACACCCUCAUGCUUUGUGCUUGGUUUGCCAAUCAGUUCUAUCACUUUGGGACAAAGCGGGUUUAUGGCUAUGUUUCAGUUGGUUGAGGACAAUGUACAGCCUGGGAGCGAGCAGAACAGAUACUGGUACGUGCACAAAACAACGAGUGGAAAGGAACGAACUUCGCAUUGAACUGUAUGAAUCGUAAAGCCAGGAGAGCAGAUUGUGAUGCUCAGCAAGAGAUGAUGCGGAUAAGUAGUGCCCAGACGACAUCUAGGAGGUAUGAAUCAUGGUAACGGUGAUAAGCAUUAAUCCUAAGAUAUGAGAGAGUUGGAAAGUUUGAGUGACUGAGAAUAGUUUAUUGGGAUUGUAUUUGUAUAUAGACGUGAUUAAUAAUGAUACCGAUGAGCGUGUAUAUUAUAAAAGCUGCAGAAGAUGAACAUUGAAUUUUCUGGCAGAUCUCAAACUGAUAUCAAUUAAUCAAAUGAGGAAAAGCUUAGGGUAGAAAAUUCAUGCAAAUUCUGAAUUGGGCUUUGCUAUAUAUUAAGAAGCACCGACAUUCUCUGGAAGCCUCCAUGUCAUAUCUGACACUCCGACACGUGAUCAACUCUUCCCGACACACGAAUUCGAAAUUCUGACACGCAACUCCAACACGCACGGGGUCAAUUUUAAAAAAUUUCAAUACUUGAGGAGUCAAAAUAUAAAUAUAUGAAAAAAUAAUGAAAAUAACAAAAAUAAAGAGGAAAUAAGAAAAUUUGCACUCUCGAGUUUCUCAUUUAUAAAUUUUGACAUUCUCGUGAGUGACGAUGAACGCUCCUCUUCUCGCCGACAUCGCUCUGCUGCCCCCGCAGAGUUAAAGUUGGAAUUUUUUUUCUUCUUUCCACCUCUCGCAAGCGUCACUUGCGAGUUAUCUCUUUUGGUCACAUUUUCCAUAGCAAAUUUAGUUAUUUCCUUUUCUUUUGGUCGUACUCUAUUUUGUAGAGGAGCUCAAGCCAAUCUAUAUCAUGAACUCCAAACCUAGUCUGGGAUUAUAAGAAAUCUCAUUAAUUUCCAACAAGUGUGAGAAAACAGGACAUGUUCCUUCAAAUUUACUCUUUUGUGUUUGCAAUUUUUGAAUUUCUCCUUAAAUCUCUCUCAAAUUAAAACAAUAAAUGAUAUUAACAAAUAUUGGAUUAAUACUUUUAGUAUAAAUUAAGUAUAUGCUCUUAUUUAUUUAUUUAUUUUUGUAUUUAUAUAUAAUUUGUCGGAAUUCUCUACUUUUUUUUAUAAAUAACGUAUUGGCAUGUCAUAUCGUGUCGUGUUGUGUGUCGCGUAUCCGUGUCGGUGCUGCAUAUAUAACUUGUGUGAGAUGGACCCUAGCAAAGAGAUUUCUUAGGAUUGAAAGUAAUGCAGAAAAGAGAAGGCAAGAGCCAAAGCUGUUAAAACAAGGUAUAAAAUCAUGAACUAUCAGGUUGGCAAAGCUGUCAAGUACUCGAUAUUGAUAGAACAAAUUAGGCACUUUAUUGGUGGUGACACUGCCCUAAUAAUGCCCUUUUUCUGUGCUGCUCAUCGAUGAAUCGGUUGAUGAGAAAAAUAAUCCCCUAACUUCACAAAUUCGGUAAGACAAAAACUCCACGAGUGGCUCAAAUAUAAGAUUGUUUGAACUUGAUGAUAUAAUCAGUAUGCCUUAUCCAUGCAUACAUAUGUUUCUUUGUUCAGUGGGUGCAAGUGCUGCCAUUAAACUUUAGUUUUACAUUUUAUUAAAUGUAACACCAUAAAAAAGUUUUAUCUUUCUGAUAAGCUCUGGACCCUCUAGAUUACCAAAUUAAGACGACUCGUUUCAACUUUUUAACAGAGGAUAAAUUCAAAUCACAGCAAUAGCUUAGGAUUUUUUUUAUAAGACAAAAAUUAGUAUUUUGGAUUUUUGUUAGGCUAAAAUUUUGGAGUAAACGUAUCAUGAGAGCACAAUUUUUUUUUUUUUUUGGGGGGAGGGGGGGUUGGGUUUUGAGACGAAAAUUAGUUUGAGGUACAUGUAUCAUAGGAUACUAAUUUGGGAUUUUUAAUCAUAUUAACCCUUGGCAUAAUGAUAUAUACAUAUAUAUAUAUAUAUAUGUAUAUAUGUAUGUAUGUAUGUAUGUAUGUAUGUAAUUUUGGAUAUCAAACACCAAAUUUAUCCUUAUGAUUUCUUAAAGUAAAUCUACAUAACAAACAUCACUUCAUAUCACAAACUGUCAUAAUCAAGUACAUGCAUAGGAUCUGAGGCAUGCUCAAAUCAUUACAAUAGAUAGGGAUAACAUUAGUGAAUCACAUGAUAGUAUAACAACAACGAACUCACUACAUAGCUUCAAGGAGUAGGAGUGGAAAUAGACAUGUCUUUCGGAAUUGUGGGAACGAAUGGUAGCGUUGGCUUAGGGAAAUAAGGGAGAUGAGGUAGUUUGGGCACUUUUGGUAAUUAUGGAUUUGGUAUUGCUGGUAAUUCUGGCUUGGGCAAUUCAGGAAGCGACGGCAAUUCAACUUUUGGCAAAGAUUGCAAUUCAAGCUUUGGCAGUUCAGGGAGCGGCGGCAAUUCGGCUUUUGGCAAAGAUGGCAAUUCUGGCUUAGGCAGGCUCACAAUGUCAGGAAGAUGAGGCAAUUCGGGUUUGGGCAGUUCAGGCACUUCUGGUAAUUCUAGCUUCGGUAUUGUUGGUAAUUCAGGCUUUGGAAGUUCAGGAACCGAUGGCAAUUCAACUUUUGGCAAAAAUGGCAAUUCUGGCUUGGGUAGGCUCGGAAUGUCGGGUAGGUGAGGUAAUUCAGGCUUAGGUAAUUCAGGCACUUCAGGCAAUUCUGGCUUGGGCAAGCUCACAAUGUCAGGAAGAUGAGGCAAUUCAGGUUUGGGCAGUUUAGGCACUUCUGGUAUUUCUGGCUUCGGUAUUGUUGGUAAUUCAGGCUUUGGAAGUUCAGGAACCGACGGCAAUUCAACUUUUGGCAAAGCUGGCAAUUCUGGCUUGGGUAGGCUCGGAAUGUCGGGAAGGUGAGGCAAUUCGGGCUUAGGUAAUUCAGGCACUUCAGGCAAUUCUGGCUUGGGCAGGCUCACAAUGUCAGGAAGAUGAGGCAUUUCAGGUUUGGGCAGUUCAGGCACUUCUGGUAAUUCUGGCUUCGGUAUUGUUGGUAAUUCAGGCUUUGGAAGUUCAGGAACCGACGGCAAUUCAACUUUUGGCAAAGAUGGCAAUUCUGGCUUGGGUAGGCUCGGAAUGUCGGGAAUGUGAGGCAAUUCGGGCUUAGGUAAUUCAGGUACUUCAGGCAAUUCUGGCUUGGGCAGGCUCACAAUGUCAGGAAGAUGAGGCAUUUCAGGUUUGGGCAGUUCAGGCACUUCUGGUAAUUCUGGCUUCGGUAUUGUUGGU
rnacentral:lncRNA from 1 species